GCUCCUCCCAGUUUGUUAUGCGAUCCUCGACCCCAUCGAGUGCCUCCUUUACAUCUGCCAUGGAUCCCUCGAGUUUACCCACACGUUCCUCUACUGCCGAUAUUGUCUCCCUCAAAGACUUCCUCGCCCACCUUUGUUCAAACUCUUCUUUCGACAUCCCAACAGUGCCUUUGAACCAACAACUCGAAUAUUACUUGGUUCAAACCUUGGCUCGGAUACCACUUGUCACGGACUUGGAGUUUUCCCACACAUCCGUGCGGCCUUAGGCAGUUUCUUGGCUUAAAAACGCCUAAGUCAGCCUAACUUCCACCAAUAAUGGAUUCAACCAAUGUCACGGAUCGCAGUUCAAAGCCCGUGACAAGCACACCAAAUGCAUCCAAUGGAGGUCUGUUACUCAGAUGGGGAUCAUUUGGCCUACGAGAACUGGCCCGAUUCAAAGAGCUGUUGGACAGGCCUAUCACAUUGAAGCCUGAUGGGCCCGAUAAUGAAGAUAGGACUAAGUAGUCUUAGAAGUUCUAAUUGUACACAGCUUCUAAUUCUGUAAAGUUAGAGUCCUAAUUGAAUACAGCUUUUAAUUGUAGCCAUCGGUUUUGGGGGAGCUCAACUAUAAAUAGAGAGCCUCCCCCUCAUUUGUACUUACUCCUGAAUUGUUUCAUUAUUCUUUGUGAAUAAGAAUUGAGAGCAUUUACUCAAACUUUUCUCUCAAGCGUUCUUGCUUUUGUUCAUCUUUCAAAGAUCGUUCUUAAUUCGUUCUUCCGCUGUUCUUCGUGAAAACUUUAAGGGAAUUCUGUUGAAUCCUUUAUUGUUGCGAGUUGAGCUGACUUAGGCGUUUUUACGGUUGAAUCCAUUAUCGGUGGAAGUUAGGCUGACUUAGGCGUUUUUAAGCCAAGAAACUGCCUAAGGCCGCACGGAUGGGUGGGAAAACUCCAGGUCCGUGACAUAAGAGGAUGAUUAAAAAUUAAAAAAUAAAAAACAGAACAAACACGUAGAAUGACAAUACCUGAAUUACUUUUUCAUUACCGUGUUAAUCUCGUCGAUGAUAGACAAAGCAUCAAAUAUAGUAAAUCAUGAAUAAAUGGACCGAAAGCGAUAUUAGUUAGUAAAUCUAAUGGUAUUGAUUGAGACGCACAUAUAAUAUAUGGUCUUUUUUUUAUGUAUUAGAUAUUAAAUGUAUGUAAAAGCUUGGUUUGGAAUGUCUUUCACUAGUUUUGGUGGGACAUAAAGUGCUUCCUAGAAAGUUCGCUAGAAUCAAUGAAGGAUUUGAAACUUCACACGUUUAUGCGAUCGUUUCGGUCUAUCACACUGACACCAUGAUAUACAUUGGUCUCAUGUUUGUUUGCCCUACAUUAUCCAAUUCUUACGUCACUUGAAGAACAAAGGAUUAUUUGAUUUGAAAUGAUGAAAUUUUGCUACCAGUCCUAAUAAGAAUAAUGUUGCUUUAAUGAUGGAAUUUUGCUACUAGUCCUAAAUAAGAAUUUUGUUUGUUAGUUUACUGUUAGUUAGUCAGCUAUAAUAUAACUUAGUUUUAACUAACUCCAUGCAAGUUAAGCUAUCUUGAGUGUUUUUUUAUCCAUAAAAAAACUUUGAUAUAAGAAGAAGUUACAAAUAAAAGGAGUGUUUUUUUGUACAACUCUAAUACAAAUGGAAAAUUUUUCAUUUACGCCAUUUAAAAUUUUAAAUUAAUAAUGUUAAAAUUAUACUUUAAUUUUUUAAAAAUAAUAAAAAAUUAAUUUAAUUUUUUAAAAAUUAUAAAGAUAAGGAUUAUUAAAAUAAUAAAAUUAUAUUUUUACUAUCGUAAAAAUUACAAUUUAAUCUUAGCCUGCCCUAAAAAAAUUUUCUAGUUUUGUCCUUGAUAGAAAGUGAAUACAUUUAUCAACAAUUCAUAAUUUGGGUUUCAAAAUAAUCAAAGUUUGUUACCAUAAAAGUACAAACAUUAAAAUUAAUCAAAUUAGAAUAUAAUAACUAAAUAUGCAGCAAAUUUUGAAUAUGAAAUCUAUCCUCUACAACAUUUGCUACAAAAUUAUAUCUACGGUCUAUUUUUUAUUUUUACAAUAAAAGAAACAUACAUCUUGUUGGAUAGAAUGUUAAAAAAAUUUAAUCGAUUGAAUAUUAAUAUUUUUAACAACUUAAAUUUUUAAGCACAUUUGAUAAUCAAUCAUGAACUAUUAGAUAGAGUUUUUUUCUAGUAAGUGUAGAAAAUGAUAAGUAAGAUUAUUUUAUUUUAUUUACGAUUAUAUUAUCAUUUUAUCAAACAAUUUAAUUAUAUUUAAUUUUAAAUAAAAUAUUGAACAUAGUUUAUAAUUUAAAUUUAACACUUAAUUUUUCAAUAAUUCUUUUGUUUUAAUUUAUCACACAAAUUACAGAAAAAAAUAUCAGAUUGCAUUGGUGAAUGGAAACCAGAACCUAAAUUGAAUUAACAAAUAUAAUGAAAUUAUUAUAUACAAAUAAAUUUAACAAAAAUAAAACACAAUAAAUUCAACACAAGAAAACACAAUAACCCAUCAAAGGCCUAAGCACAUUGCUUUUUUCCUUUUUACGUGUAAGCCAUGAUUUCUCUUAAAGUAGCAGCCGAAGGAGAUCGUGGCAACCUAGAUGUAAAAUUUCUGUUAGGAAACUCAUUAAUUUGACUAUCUUCACCUCCAUUAUUGAAAUUCAACGCAUAACUCGACGGAUUGUAUUGAAAAUCUAUUGAGCGUCGUCUUCUGUGAAUAAAAUUAUAAUUAGGGUUAUGGUUACGACGAUAAUUAGGAAAAUCAUGUCCAAUACGAGUAAUCAAAUUACGACAUUUGUGUUUAAAAGUUUUAGGACUUGAAAUAGGAGUUGAGUGAGGAGUAAUUGGCACACUCGAGAUUUGUUGAUUGUGGUCAUGGUGGUUGUGGUGACGGAGCCAUUGAAGAGAAGAUUUUAACUUUUGCUUUAAAGAUGGAUAAAUUGAUUCGUUUUCAUUGCUCAUUAUUUUAUUUUAUAUUUUUUCACUUUUCUUAUAAAUAAAAGAAAGAAAAACUUUUAUUUAUAUAUUUUUCAAAAAUGGUGGAAAUUGAAAUAGUGUAGGGAUAAGAUAAAAUUACCAAAAAUUGUACGAAUCCUACGUAAAUAAAGGAACAAUUAAGAGGUUAUUAUUUGGAGAGUUAAAAACUAAUGUUUUCUGUAAUUUUAGGGGAAAAUUUCAGUGUAGAUUAAAGAUUUUACUGUUUUUGUGAUUUUGUAAUUUUAGGGGAAUAUUUCUUUAUUUAAAUAUAUUGUAUUUAGCUUGAAAUUCGAUUUCUAUAACUAAGAUGAUUUUUCAGUUAAAUAAUAAAUUUUUAUUUUUCCAUUUUAAGCACAAUCAUAAAAAUAAAAAAAUAUAAAGAAUAGUUUAUUAUUUAAAUUAAUAGUGAACUUUAAAAAAAAAGUAAUGAGAGAUUUAUUUAAAAAAUAGAGAUGCUUUUAAGAGUAAUAAAUUAUAUUAUUGAUAUUACAUAACAAUUCUAAGUCUUUUUAAAAUAUUGUUGAUUAAUAUAUAAAACUCGGAUAAAUAAAUGAUAAUAUAUAAUUAUCAUUAUUAUUAUUAUCACAAAUCUUCCGCUUUUUUUCUGUCAAGAAAAGCGAUUACGUCUACCGGCUGCUGAAAACAGGCUUAUCAAGCUGCAGUCUGACCAAUAAUUUAAAUAUAAAUAUCAUUAAUGAUCAUUUUUAAAGUCUAACGGAAUGGCUUUUCUGUUAUACAAAGAGAUUAUCGUAUUACUAAUCAUCUAAAUCAACCCAAAAUCUGUCGUGAUAAUAAAAUUGGUUAUUAUAGAAAAGGGAUUAAAUUCAAGGAUAAGAUAUGUAUUUAAAUUUAAAUACAAUAGUAACAAUGAAUUACGAAAUAAAAAAUAAUUAAAUGUAUAUCUAAUCAAUAAUUAAAAUCAAUUAAAAUUAUUUAUAUUAGAUUAUAAAAAUUAAAAAAUUAAAAAAAUUAUUUAUACUAAAAUAAUUAAUUAAAAAUAUAAAUACAUAUAAAAAAAGCUUUCGAUCGAGUUCGAGUGAAUUCGCUCGAUCUUUUGAUGGCAAAUGUAUCUUAUUUUAUUUAAAUGCAAUAAAAAUAUUUUUUUUAUUUUAAAUAGUAGAUGUGGACAAUCGGAAUCGCAUAUUAAUUUAUAUAAUUUUAUUUUAUGGUUUGACAUUAAAUAUAUGUUGCAUGUGGAUGGCCUUUACCCGGCUAGGAACCAUUUUAAAUAACUGGAAACCGACAAAAUAUAUGGAAUAAAAGCUUAUUAGUUCAAACUAGAAAGCCAAACUUGAAAAUAAAAUUUGUUCAAACUCAAUUUAUUUACGGCCAUAUUCGAAAACUUGAUUUACAGUCUCAGAUAAGGAGUUAUGGCUCUUAUUUAUUUGAAUACUGUUAAAGCAUUCAAGCAACUGCUUCAGCAGCAGUGGAGACCUUCUGGAGGACAAAUAUAGGAUCUCCCACUUUAACCAGCUUUGCCUUCCCUUCAGUCAAACUUUCCUUGCAAACCAUGUUCUGCCCGAAAUAGAUCUGCAAUAUCAUCAGAACGUACUCAAAACGGAUCGUUUGCGGGUGAGAGGGCAUUACAGCAAAAAAAUGUUCCGAAUUUUCGUCUUAGUGGUCUUACCUCUCCUUGUUGUUUCUUGUCCGGUCGCAAGACCUUACCCGAUCUGUAUUUCAUAAGAGUUUCAUUCGGCUCUGGACCAGCAAUUGCGGUGUCUUGAUUGAUUGUAGGCACCUGAAUAAUGCACCAUCAUCUUUUUAAACAUUAACAUGCUUAAGCAUAUGAUAUAAAGUUAUUAAUAUCGUAAGAUACUCUAUAUGUAUAGUUCAAUACGAUUCGAUUCACAAUCAAAAUCACUAGGUAUCUAUAUAGAGAACUGGUUUUUAGCAUUGAAUACCUUGAAAUCCAUUGCAAUUUACAAUAUUCUUAAGAUAACAGUACUUCUCGUAAUAUAAGCAUAAAAUGCAGAAAGGGUAGCUUUUAUACCUUACAGCGGGAGCAUAGUCUCACACCUUGAAAUGAAAAUUGGCUUAUUUUAAUCUCAGUCCAUAGGUCUUCGGAGAACGGUUCACAGCCGUCAACAAGGAUGCUAUAAUGAGCACAAAAAAUUAUGUAAUAAAGUUGUAAAUAAUACAGAAAAAGAGUAAAGCAGAGGUGAUUAAACUUAAACAAAUGUUUUCCAUUGGAAAUAACAUGAGAGAAUAUUGAAAUUUAGAGGAUGAACUGGAUCCUGAUGAAAGGACAUGCUAAAUAAAAACCAAGAGACAUGGUAUGAGCCUGAGAAAGGGGCGAAAAAAGUACUUGGGUCUGAAACGGUUCAUGGGUACAGGCUCCUUCAGAAGCUUGUUCAGUUCGUCCAAAGAUCCCUGCAAGCAUUUGUACUUAUAAUAUCAAGUUUAAGCUUUGUUAAUUUAUAUUGAUAUCAUCAUCAUCAUCAUCAUCAGUUAUGAAAAAAAAAAACCAUUGUUUCCAAAACUAACCUGAGAUACUAACAUGAAAGGGAACAUGUCAGAAAACAUUAUGGAAUACCCUUGAGCAUACACAGGAUUCACAGGCCUAGUUUCUGAUGCUGCAUUUAUUAAAUAAUGUUGUAACCAAAUUGUUAGCCAUAUAAAUUGGAGACUUCAAAACUAUCUUAAUAUGCAAAGCUAUCACAACAUGGCUGUAGCAUUUAUAUAGUUAAUUGAAAUCAAACCAACCUGCAUUAAAACGAACCAUCCUACUGGGUUUCCCGAGAUAAUUUGUAAACCAUUUUGAAGCCUCAUCACCCUCAUCUAAUGCAGAGCCGGACCACUCCCAAACUGAAACACCAUCAGACACUUUUGGUGGUUUGCAAAGAGAAAUCUUGAGUAAAUCCAUUCCGGGUGCUUUUAUUUCUGCGAAUGAAAGCAUAUAAUGGUCACGAUUCAUGAAAAAUAAAAGGAAAUCACAAUUUGAAUGCUUUAGACAAUUUGCCUGCAUAAAACAAAUAACUCAUACUAAGAUUUCUACUAUUAGAGAUUUGAUAGUUUGUCUCAUACAAAUAAUUUUGCCAUGUAAAAACACACUAUUCUGUUUAAUAUGAGCAUUAUAUAAUGCAAUAUCUGCAGUAACUAAGUUGUCUUAAAGAUUAAUGAGGUACAGAUAAUGAUGAGUUGGUUUACCCAAAUAGGAGGUCUUGGUAGGUUCCCAGCCCUCUGAAAAGGCCUCAGCUGGCAGGUUCACCUCAACUAGAGCAAGCUUUGGUUCAACCCUUUGAGUAUAUGCCCUGCCUCUCUGAUUCACAACAAGCCAUUGCCGAUCCCAUCGAAACCCUGUACAUGCAUCAACAGAGGAACAUAAGAAAUAAAUCAGCCAUGCUUGCAAGUUAGCCAUGGAGAAUAAAUUGAACAAACUGACAGAUGGUUGAGGCAACUGGAUACGCCAAAUCAAGCUAACUAAACUGUUUAAGAAAAUCAAGAAUAAUUCCCAAAAUUACAUAAAAAAAAGUGAUCCAAUAUAACAAGCACUGUAGCUAUCACUUAAUCAUAGUUAUUGUUUCUAAUGUUAUUUGGGUUAAGCUAAUGAACCAGUGAUAAGACAGAAAUCUAUGACUGGGAGUGAGGCUAAAAAUUUUGGGAAUAGCACCAAAAAAAAAAAGCAAUAAAAAAUAAAAAUGAAAACCAAAAUUUCCUUGUAAGUAUUAAAGCUGGAGUGGCAGAGAAAUACAUUAAGACAGUGUUAGCAAAUGAAGUGCAGGUGAAAACACCAUAAUAUAAGAACAACAAGGCUAAUAAUUGAUAAAUAUAAAGAGCAGAAAAAAACUCACAGCCGGGACCUUGAAGAGAUGGAAAAAAAAGGAGUACCAGUAGGAGUGAGGGGUGCAUGUGGAACAGAAAUUCCACGGCAUGAUUUUACGGGAUAGAUAAAGAUUGAUGAUAUCUUAGCAUCAGCAACAGCAGCAGCAGCAGCAGCAGCAGCAGAUGAUGCAUCAGUCUUCUCCAUGCCUCUUUCUUCUUUCGGACAAAGAGAUAAUCUUGAGUUUCCAAGCAAAAACAGGUAGUCUGUAUGUUUAAGAAGUCUUCUUAAAAACCGCUGACUUCGAACCACAUGAAUUCAUUUCUUCUACAUGGAAACUUCCAAACUGAAUUUGGAUUUUUGCACAAUGGGAUCAGAACGGUGGACCGCCCUCUAUACAAAGUGGCCCUGCCUCCAGGCCCACAUCCUUUUCUAACACACGUUACUAUUUUUUUUUCCUUUUUCGGUUACAAUUUCCAAGAGGGCAAUCCAAUUGUAAGUUUGUAACCUCCAUUUUAUUUUAAAAUAUGCUUUUACCUCUUUCAGAUUUAUUCAUUCUUUUUUAUUUUUAAAAUUUCAAUUUUAAUUUUAAAAUUUAUUUAUUAAAUUUAUUGAUGUGAUAUUUUAAAAUAAAACAAAUAAUUAGUGGUUAUAUAAUAAAAAAUACCGUUAUAAACUUGAAUUUAACCAAAGCAUUUUAAUUGUAUUCACAAUUGUAAUUAGGUUUUAAAUCUAAGAAAUAGAAAAUUUAAAUUCCAAAUGUAAAUAUUAUAAUCUCACUAAAAUUAAGGUUAAUUAAUACUUCAACACAAAUAAAAAAAGGUUAAUUUUGUCCUACCAAACAUUUUUUACUUUUCAAGAAAGCAACUUUUUCAGGAAAAAAAUCCCAUUACUUGUGGGAAAUAACUCAGUUACAUUCGAAAGAAAAUAAACUAAUUUUUGUUAAAUUUAUAUAAAAAUGAUAACAUCCCAUCGUAUCAAACAUCCUAUAAGAGUUCAAUAGUAAACUGUCUAAAAUCCUAUCGAGUUAAAAACUAAUCUUAAACAAUAUACGCUCUUGAUAGAUGUCCAAUGCCUCGAUAACCUUCUCGAUGAAUAGUUUCCGGUGCAAUCUGUACCUGAAUAUGUAAAAAGGUAAGAGAGGCUUCAACUCGGACUGUAAUUAAGAAUUAAAACCUCAAUGCAUGAGAGGAAAAGGUAUGUUAUGUCAGAAUCACAUACUUGAUUGCUGUUUCAAGUGUCCUCCUUGCUUCUGGCAUAGAUUCUGUAGUUGUAAAAUGAAUCAAAAAUCAAAUAUAUCAGACCAUGGCUCAUGUUCUAGUUGAUAAGUAGCAGAUUUUUGAAAAUUUACAGUAAUAAACAAUAGAAGUUGUUCAUAGUGCCUGUUUAAAUGGUAAAAGUACUAUGAACAGUAUUAGGGGUCAGAUUGCAUUUUGUCCCCUCUACUCAAAAAAUGGGCAAAAUAGUCCCUGUAUAUUAGAUCAAAGAGUGAAUUGGACAAUUCUGUUAAAAUUUUUAUCCAUUUAUACUGUUAAAAACUGACGUGACUGACAAAAUAACCGGACAGUGACACAUGACGUGCCAUAUGUACCUCAUGCUAAUGUACAAGACUAGUUUUUAACCGUAAGAAUGAACAGAAUUUUUAAUAGAAGUAUCAAUUUGCUUUUUAAUUUAACCGACAAGGAUUAAUUUGUUUAUUUUUUAGUACAGAGGGCAAAAUGUAAUCCAACUCCUAAUACUAGGGCCUCCAUUAUACUUUUACCUAGUUUAAACUGUACUUCAACCAUGAAAUUAUCUUAGCACUUUAUGUUUGAAGGAAUUAGGACUCUGCAAGCUUUAAGACUACCGACCAACCAGUUCAAUUCUGUUGGUAACCUGAGCAUUCUAAUCUAAUUUUAGAUCGUGUAGGAAAGAAUGUUAAUUCUAUCCACUAAGAUAGAUAAAAUGUUCACCUAGUAAUUUUUGGUCUUGCGCGGAAGUUGUAGGAAACUGUGCAAGCAUCUGCUGACAUUCUUCUUGUAACUCCUUCACAGCUUUCCUUUCCAUGCUAGGGAUCAGCGGAACAUCGCCAUCUGACCAUGUGGGCAAUGUUCUUGCAGCAGUUAUGACUGCCCCGUCAACAAAAUUAUCUCCUUUAUCUGCUAACUGACCUGAAUGUUUUGUGAAUAUAAGGUGCUGAAUUUUGUAGAAAAUAUUAACAUUAUCAUUUGAGAAGUUCUGAAAAGUUAAAACUACUCAUACUGUUAUGAUAAUAAUCUCCAGGGAGACCAGAUAUAUUGAAGACCGACAAGAAAGAGUCCAAGUGAACAUGUGCGUUGCCCGAGAAUGGUAUAGAAUCCCAAGGAUUCUGCAAUGUUCAGGCCUUGACUAAGUCAGGUUAAAAAAGAAGAAGAAGAAGAUUUAAAUAUUUAUAUUGAGGAUUAAGGCUUUGCUUGGUAGGAUGGAAAGAAAAUUGGAAAGAUGGAAAACUGAAGGAGUAGAAAACUAGAAGGAUAGAAAAUAUAAUUUUUCUUUCAUAAUCUCUUCAUUUUCUCUCCUCUUAUUUUUCCAAUUUGGAAGGAUUGGUUUUUAUGCGAUAGAAAAUGGUCAUCCCUCCCAUUUUCUUUCCUCUCACUUUUCUUUCUAACCAAGCACACUCAAAAUUUAUUUUCCUUCCACUUUUCCACUCCAUCCUCCAUCCCUCCACUUUUGCACCUAACCAAGCACACCCUAAAAGUAGAAGCUAAUUACCACAGAUGAUGAGAAUCCAUAUCGUUGCAUGAGCAUCUGAUUUUGCUGUCCAUUCAUGUAAUUGAUGGUCAUCUGUUAACAUUAUGGAAUUGUAGAUACAUAACCCAUAAUGAAAUAAAAAACACUUAGGAUCUAACAUGGUUGAUGGCUUUAAAAGGCAAACAGCAAAGACAACACAAAGCAGGCUAAACUUUAUCACAAACUAAAUGCUCCAAUAGCUACAAAGAGACCAAAAAGACUACAAAUAAACGAUGGUUGGACUGCCCCUUGAUGUUGAAAAUUCACUUGAACAACAUUAGAAUUUAAAGAGAAUAUGGAAUAACAAUACCUCCUCUCCUUUUCUAAUCCUCUGACCAGCAUUUAUCAUCACCUCAACCAUGCGAUCCUUAAAACGCCAAUGGAGAAAACAGUUUGGCUGAAAUGAAUGAUUUAGCAUGUCUGCGCUGACAAAUGGAUACACAUCAAAAAGCAUAUUAAAAUAUUAGAUAAGUAAGAGAAAUAAUAACUUAAAGGAAAUAUGAUGGCAGUCAAUUUGUAGAUAAGGCAGGGAGGUAUUAGUGAUGCCAAAACAGGCCAAAGAUUUGGUCGAAAAAGACAAUAAAUGAAGAGAAACAGUUGAAAGGAAUGGUCUAUAAGAAAAACAAAAAAUCUUAUCAGGGCCUGCAUUUCUUUUAACUUUUUGACCAGCCAUCAUAGACAAGAAGGCAUAGAAAUGAAAAAUAGAGGAGUCCCGUGCAGCAAGAUCACCAGACCAGCAUAGGGAAUUAGCAUAUUUGCAUCUUGAACUAGUGCACCGAUCCUAACUUGCAUGUUAAUGCAUCGUGACUGUGCAAUGCUAACAGCCCAAAUGAAUCUCUCAGGAUCACGAGCAAGGCGCUUUAUUUUCAGAGGGACACCGGAAUGCUGAGUGAGGUUAAGCACACAAACAAGUUAUAUUACAGUGAGCAGGAACUUCUUUGAAGAAAUGAGAGGUAAAAUGUUUAGUGUCAUAAUGAUAGACGGGUUGCUUAUACCCAGUUCUUUUCCCAAAAUUCUAAGGCUCUUAAUUGUUGAUUUUUCAUAGUUGAAACAAGAUCAGGAUCCUGCAGCUGUGAGAGGUCGUCCUGCAAGGAUUGAGCAAGCUGUGAGUACAAGAAGUUGCUUCCCACAUAGUUACUCUUAGAAUUAUGCUAAAAUCCCAAUCCUUUGCCAUUUAACAACCAUAACCAAUGCUUUAAUGCAAUCAUUAAGAUAUGUCACUCCCACCAUUAAUUCAUCAAAGACAAAAACUGUAAUUUAGCAAAACAUAGAAGGGAAUUUGAAAUAAAGUAAAAAGCAAGAAAAUACACACACCUCAGCAGCAAGAAGCAAGCUAGUGCACUCAUCAGCACUAGGUAAGAAGUCUCCAUAUAGUUGCCAAAAGUUAUCCUCCUUAUCAAAUGCAUACAAGAAGGCAUGCCAAUCUCAGAUCCCAAUCUGUCUGCCAAGAAAGACGCCAUGAAUUACAUUGAAGAACAGCGCAAUUAGUGUUAUAGUACAAACCAAAUAGUGUGCUAGUGAAUUCACCAAAUUUGAACAAUAAAUGCAGAAAACUUGAAAUGAUAAUUUAAGUCUUUCAUAUAAAGGAAAAUUCGAAUUACCUCAGGAUUGGUUGAGUUUAUGAUAUCAAAUAUGGGAUGACCUAGUGGCACUAUAUCCGGGAAGAACAUCCAUGGCAACUUCUGCCUUAUUGUCAACAUCAAUUCCAAAGGUAUUUCCAUAAUUACCUGUUCAGUCAAGUAUUGAAAGCAUAGUUACCAACACAUACACACAGAUAUCAUAGGAAGAGAAUAUAUGGUAGAAAAGGGUUACAGUGAGAAUUUAGAAGCAAAUGACAAAAGUGAAACAGACUCUAGCACAACGAAGAGGUUCAACAUCUUUGGAGGCAUAGACUCCAAAACCAUCAGGACCUUCCUUAAACUCAAUUCCAUAAGCUCUCAUACUUCGAACAUAACCUAUCUUGUAGAAAUCAGGGUCCGCAGGCUCCAACUAUAAAGGAAAACAAAAGCAACUGAAUGAUUUUAAAAACCCAAAAUGGAAAAAAAAAGUAAUAGGAAGAGUGAAUUGAUAAGCCAUGAGCAUAUACCUGAGAAGGAGAUUCUUGAACUGGGGUAGGCUGAAAGAGUGGAAACGAAGGAGUUUCAAUCUCAAACAAUACUUGGUCGCUGGUGCUGGUGACCACCCAUGACUAUGAAAAUGAGUACGACGAGAUUCUCUUUCUGGACAAGCAUAGGUGAAGCACCCACUGACAUGUAUCUUAUUUUAUUUAAAUGUAAUAAAAAUAUUUUUUUUUAAUUUUAAAUAGUAGAUGUGGACAAUCGGAAUCGCAUAUUAAUUUAUAUAAUUUUAUUUUAUGGUUUGACAUUAAAUAUAUGUUGCAUGUGGAUGGCCUUUACCCGGCUAGGAACCAUUUUAAAUAACUGGAAACCGACAAAAUAUAUGGAAUAAAAGCUUAUUAGUUCAAACUAGAAAGCCAAACUUGAAAAUAAAAUUUGUUCAAACUCAAUUUAUUUACGGCCAUAUUCAAAAACUUGAUUUAAAGUCUCAGAUAAGGAGUUAUGGCUCUUAUUUAUUUGAAUACUGUUAAAAGCAUUCAAGCAACUGCUUCAGCAGCAGUGGAGACUUUCUGGAGGACAAAUAUAGGAUCUCCCACUUUAACCAGCUUUGCCUUCCCUUCAGUCAAACUUUCCUUGCAAACCAUGUUCUGCCCAAAAUAGAUCUGCAAUAUCAUCAGAACGUAUUCAAAACGGAUCGUUUGCGGGUGAGAGGGCAUUACAGCAAAAAAAUGUUCCGAAUUUUCAUCUUAGUGGUCUUACCUUUCCUUGUUGUUUCUUGUCCGGUCGCAAGACCUUAUCAGACCUGUAUUUCAUAAGAGUUUCAUUCGGCUCUGGACCAGCAAUUGCGGUUUCUUGAUUGAUUGUAGGCACCUGAAUAAUGCACCAUCAUCUUUUUAAACAUUAACAUGCUUAGGCAUAUGAUAUAUAGCUAUUAAUAUCGUAAGAUACUCUAUAUGUAUAGUUUCAAUACGAUUCGAUUCACAAUCAAAAUCACUAGGUAUCUAUAUAGAGAACUGGUUUUUAGCAUUGAAUACCUUGAAAUCCAUUGCAAUUUACAAUAUUCUUAAGAUAACAGUACUUCUCGUAAUAUAAGCAGAAAAUGCAGAAAGGGUAGCUUUUACACCUUACAGCGGGAGCAUAGUCUCACACCUUGAAAUGAAAAUUGGCUUAUUUUAAUCUCAGUCCAUAGGUCUUCAGAGAACGGUUCACAGCCGACAACAAGGAUGCUAUAAUGAGAACGAAAAAUUAUGUAAUAAAGUUGUAAAUAAUACAGAAAAAGAGUAAAGCAGAGGUGAUUAAACUUGAACAAAUGUUUUCCAUUGGAAAUAACAUGAGAGAAUAUUGAAAUUUAGAGGAUUAACUGGAUCCUGAUGAAAGGACAUGCUAAAUAAAAACCAAGAGACAUGGUAUGAGCCUGAGAAAGGGGCGAAAAAAGUACUUGGGUCUGAAACGGUUCAUGGGUACAGGCUCCUUCAGAAGCUUGUUCAGUUCGUCCAAAGAUCCCUGCAAGCAUUUGUACUUAUAACAUCAAGUUUGAGCUUUGUUAAUUUAUAUUGAUAUCAUCAUCAUCACCAUCAUCAUCAUCAGUUAUGAAAAUAAAAAACAUUGUUUCCAAAACUAACCUGAGAUGCUAACAUGAAAGGGAACAUGUCAGAAAACAUUAUGGAAUACCCUUGAGCAUACACAGGAUCCACAGGCCUAGUUUCUGAUGCUGCAUUUAUUAAAUAAUGUUGUAACCAAAUUGUUAGCCAUAUAAAUUUGAGACUUAAAAACUAUCUUAAUAUGCAAAGCUAUCACAACAUGGCUGUAGCAUUUAUAUAGUUAAUUGAAAUCAAACCAACCUGCAUUAAAACGAACCAUCCUACUGGGUUUCCCGAGAUAAUUUGUAAACCAUUUUGAAGCCUCAUCACCCUCAUCUAAUGCAGAGCCGGACCACUCCCAAACUGAAACACCAUCAGACACUUUUGGUGGUUUGCAAAGAGAAAUCUUGAGUAAAUCCAUUCCGGGUGCUUUUAUUUCUGCGAAUGAAAGCAUAUAAUGGUCACGACUCAUGAAAAAUAAAAGGAAAUCACAAUUUGAAUGCUUUAGACAAUUUGCCUGCAUAAAACAAAUAACUCAUACUAAGAUUUCUACUAUUAGAGAUUUGAUAGUUUGUCUCAUACAAAUAAUUUUGCCAUGUAAAAACACACUAUUCUGUUUAAUAUGAGCAUUAUAUAAUGCAAUAUCUGCAGUAACUAAGUUGUCUUAAAGAUUAAUGAGGUACAGAUAAUGAUGAGUUGGUUUACCCAAAUAGGAGGUCUUGGUAGGUUCCCAGCCCUCUGAAAAGGCCUCAGCUGGCAGGUUCACCUCAACUAGAGCAAGCUUUGGUUCAACCCUUUGAGUAUAUGCCCUGCCUCUCUGAUUCACAACAAGCCAUUGCCGAUCCCAUCGAAACCCUGUACAUGCAUCAACAGAGGAACAUAAGAAAUAAAUCAGCCAUGCUUGCAUGUUAGCCAUGGAGAAUAAAUUGAACAAAUUGAUAGAUGGUUGAGGCAACUGGAUACGCCAAAUCAAGCUAACUAAACUGUUUAAGAAAAUCAAGAAUAAUUCCCAAAAUUACAUAAAAAAAAGUGAUCCAAUAUAACAAGCACUGUAGCUAUCACUUAAUCAUAGUUAUUGUUUCUAAUGUUAUUUGGGUUAAGCUAAUGAACCAGUGACAAGACAGAAAACUAUGACUGGGAGUGAGGUUAAAAAUUUUGGGAAUAGCACCAAAAAAAAAAAGCAAUAAAAAAUAAAAAUGAAAACCAAAAUUUCCUUGUAAGUAUUAAAGCUGGAGUUGCAGAGAAAUACAUUAAGACAGUGUUAGCAAAUGAAGUGCAGGUGAAAACACCAUAAUAUAAGAACAACAAGGCUAAUAAUUGAUAAAUAUAAAGAGCAGAAAUAAAUCCACAGCCGGGACCUUGAAGAGAUGGAAAAAAAAGGAGUACCAGUAGGAGUGAGGGGUGCAUGUGGAACAGAAAUUCCACGGCAUGAUUUUACGGGAUAGAUAAAGAUUGAUGAUAUCUUAGCAUCAGCAACAGCAGCAGCAGCAGAUGAUGCAUCAGUCUUCUCCAUGCCUCUUUCUUCUUUCGGACAAAGAGAUAAUCUUGAGUUUCCAAGCAAAGACAGGUAGUCUGUAUGUUUAAGAAUUCUUCUUCUUAAAAACCGCUGUCUUUGAACUCGAUUCCCUAUCAAACCACAUGAAAUUCAUUUCUUUUACAUGGAAACUUCCAAACUGAAUUUGGAUUUUUGCACAAUGGGAUCAGAACGGUGGACCGCCCUCUAUACAAAGUGGCCCUGCCUCCUGGCCCACACCCUUUUCUAACAUACGUUACUAUUUCCUUUUUCCUUUUUCGGUUACAAUUUCCAAGAGGGCAAUCCAAUUGUAACCCCAUUUUAUUUUAAAAUAUGCUUUUACCUCUUUCAGAUUUAUUCAUUCUUUUUUAUUUUUAAAAUUUUAAUUUUAUUUUAAAAUUUAUUUAUUAAAUUUAUUGAUGUGAUAUUUUAAAAUAAAAUAAAUAUUUAGUGGUUAUAUAAUAAAAAAUAUGUUACGGGAUAGAAUAAUAGCAGGAAAAAGAAUUAGUUAAAAUUAAUUUAGUUACUGAAAACGGGGAGUUUUGAAUAUUAGUUAAACGGUGAGUUUUAGUUGUUAAUUGGACGGUGCGUUUUGGUGAGUAUUAGUUACUGUUUGUUAUGUUUUCUUUUGCUUGAAAUAUGCAAGUGCUGCAUGGGAAGGAAGUUAUCGAAUUACAGAAGAAAUUUGUUAUCUGUUUUCUCCUCUCUUUCUUCCUUUUCUCCCUUUUCUUUCCUCUAAAUUCUCUGCUCGAUUUCAGUUUUUGUCAAAGGUAUCAGAGCUUUCACGAUCCUUUUUGAUGGCGGCGGUGGUGUUUCGACAAGGUUGCAAAAAGAGGUGAGCACGAUGCAGCAGGAAAUCUCCAAAAUCCAAGAGGAAUUCGCGCAUCUGGAGGCCAAGCUGGACUCCCAAUUACAGGAGUUCAAAACGGCGGUUCGAGGUGAUUUACAGUCGCUGUUGGUUCAGUAUUUCGGGCCACCACCAACUGGUUCAUCGGUAACUGCUGCAGCUGAUAAGGGUAAGGGGGUUUUGGGAGCUCCUCCUGGGUUUUUACCUAAAACCACCGAUUUACUGCCAGGACAGACGGAACCCUUUGUUCCGGAUGGAGGUAGUGUCCAUGUGCGAGAUCCUUCCUAUGUGGCGGGAGUUUUUACUAGAACCAGUCGAUUAGAGUGUCCUAAGUUCGAUGGUAAUGAUUUCCGGGGAUGGUGGACCAAAUUGGAACAGUAUUUUGAAGCGGAAGGCAUACCUGAAGUGAGUAAGGUUCGCAUGGUGAUGUUGAACUUAGAAGGCAGAGCAUUGGAAUGGCGUCAUUUCUAUUCACAGAGGCAGGGUGGUUUGCAAAUGUUGUUAUGGCCGGCGUACAUUAAGAGCCUCCAAGAUCGUUUUGGAUGUGGGCCAUUUAGGGAUCCGAUGAGGGAGCUGGUCAACUUGAAACAGCAAUGCUCCAUUUCUAGUUUAAAAUCCAACAAUGUUGGUGUUGUUGCUAAUACCUUGCACUAUGGCGCCUUGAACACGAGCAUUGGUGCAACAGCGACAGUUUCAAGUGGAAUUGGGUGUUUGGAUACAGGGCGAUUCAUGUACCAGAAGGGCGCAACAUUGGGUGCCUUGUUGGAAAAUGGCCAAAUUGAGAACUGGGCUGACUCUGGCCUUGCCGAUAAUAGCCAAUAGACUGACACUUCGACUGAUGUUGACACUGACCAUAAAAACCAGCUUCAUGGAGUUCGACAUGGAGCUGUAAUGGUGAAUAUGGUCCAAGUCAAAAAGUAGUGAUCAAAAGACUCUUCGCAGGCUUGCUCAGAAUCGAGAAGCUGCAAGGAAGAGUAGAUUGAGGACAAAAGCCUAUGUCCAGCAGCUUGAGAGUAGUCGACUCAGGCUUACAGAACUAGAGCAAGAGCUUCAAAGGGCACGGCAGCAGGGUAUUUUUAUAGCAUCUGGACUUUCUGGGGACCAUGGCCAUACAGUUGCGGGAAAUGCUGCUUUGGCAUUUGACAUGGAAUAUGAAGACAUACAUGCAGUCAAUAUGAGGGAAAUGAUAUUCAUAAUGAUAUAUGUCUCCUUUGACAUGAUUCUUGGUGCCUAUCUCAUUAGUAACAUGACAGCAUUAAUCGUAAAAGGAUCCAAGACAGAGAAGUUCAGAGAUAAAAUGGCAGAAGUUAUUAAGUAUAUGAACAGAAAUAAACUUGAAAGGGAUCUCCGUAAUCAGAUCAAAGGCCACUUGCGUUUACAGUACGAAAGCACAUACACUGAGGCUGCCGUUCUUCAGGAUAUUCCCAUCUCUAUUAGAGCUAAGAUUUCCCAAUCUUUAUAUUUGCCAUACAUUGAAAAUGCAUCUCUUUUCAAGGAAUGCUCUUCAGAGUUUAUUAAUCAGAUUAUUAUUAGACUCCAUGAAGAAUUUUUUCUCCCAGGAGAAGCAAUAAUGGAACAGGGAAAUGUUGUGGAUCAACUCUAUUUUGUUUGUCAUGGUGUGUUGGAGGGAAAAGAAUCCAAUCUCCGAGUUAGGCAACUGGAAUUGGACAUCUCAUUUCACAUCAGAAGACAAGAAGCUGAGCUAGCUUUGAGGAUGAAUGGUGCUGCAUAUAAUGGAGAUUUUUAUCAGCUCAAAAGUUUGAUACGAGCGGGAGCUGAUCCUAACAAAACCGAUUGUGAUGGAAGAUCUCCCUUGCAUCUUGCUGCAUCGAAAGGAUAUGAAGAUAUUACAAGUUUCCUUAUUCGACACCCGGUAGAUAUCAAUCUUAAAGAUAAGUUCGGAAAUACACCCUUGCUAGAAUCAAUAAAAAAUGGACACGACUAAUUAAAGAAGGAGCUUCCUUAAACAUAGAUGAUGCUGGUAGUUAUCUGUGUACGGCAGUUGCAAAGGGGGACUCAAACUUUUUGAGAAGGCUUUUGUCUAAUGGAGUUGAUCCUAACUCUAGAGGUUACGACCAUCGAACCCCCCUUCUUGUAGCUGCCUCUGAGGGCUUAUAUAUCAUGGUAAAGCUUUGGUAGAGGCUGGGGCUAGUGUUUUUUUUUUCCAAAGACAGAUGGGGAAACACUCCACUUGAUGAAGCCUGAAUGUGUGGCAACAAGAAUUUGAUCAAGUUACUGGAAGAUGCAACAUGGGAGCCUUUAUCUGCUAUUCAGUCCAAAUUUCCUCAUCUUCAUCCUUGAGGUCAAGGAUGUGUUUGUGGGAGGGAGUAUUGUUACGGGAUAGAAUAAUAGCAGGAAAAAGAAUUAGCUAAAAUUGAUUUAGUUACUGAAAACGGGGAGGAGUUUUGGGUAUUAGUUAAACGGUGAGUUUUAGUUGUUAAUUGGACGGUGCAUUUUGGUGAGUAUUAGUUACUGUUUUUUAUGUUUUCUUUUGCUUGAAAUAUGCAAGUGCUGCAUGGAAAGGAAGUUAUCGAAUUACAGAAGAAAUUUGUUAUCUGUUUUCUCCUCUCUUUCUUCCUUUUCUCCCUUUUCUUUCCUCCAAAUUCUCUGCUCGAUUUCAAUUCUUAUCAAAAUACUGAUAUAAACUUAAAUUUAACUAAAGUAUUUUAAUUGUAUUCACAAUUGUAAUUAGGUUUUAAAUCUAAGAAAUAGAAAAUUUAAAUUCCAAAUGUAAAUAUUUUAAUCUCACUAAAAUUAAGGUUAAUUAAUACUUCAAUACAAAUAAAAAAAAAGGUUAAUUUUGUCCUACCAAACUUUUUUUACUUUUCAAGAAAGCAACUUUUUCAGGAAAAAAAUCCCAUUACUUAUGGGAAAUAACUCAGUUACAUUCGAAAGAAAAUAAACUAAUUUUUGUUAAAUUUAUUGAAAAAUGAUAACAUUCCAUCGUAUCAAACAUCCUAUAAGAGUUCAAUAGUAAACUGUCUAAAAUCCUAUCGAGUUAAAAACUAAUCUAAAACAAUAUACGCUCUUGAUAGAUGUCCAAUGCCUCGAUAACCUUCUCGAUGAAUAGUUUCCGGUGCAAUCUGUACCUGAAUAUGUAAAAAGGUAAGAGAGACUUCAACUCGGACUGUAAUUAAGAAUUAAAACCUUAAUGCAUGAGAGGAAAAGGUAUGUUAUGUCAGAAUCACAUACUUGAUUGCUGUUUCAAGUGUCCUCCUUGCUUCUGGCAUAGAUUCUGUAGUUGUAAAAUGAAUCAAAAAUCAAAUAUAUCAGACCAUGGCUCAUGUUCUAGUUGAUAAGUAGCAGAUUUUUGAAUUUACAGUAAUAAACAAUAGAAGUUGUUCAUAGUGCCAGUUUAAAUGGUAAAAGUACUAUGGACGGUACUAGGAGUCAGAUUGCAUUUUGCCUCUACUCAAAAAAUAGGCAAAAUAGUCCCUGUAUAUUAGAUCAAAGAGUGAAUUGGUCAUUUCUGUUAAAAUUUUUAUUCAUUUAUACUGUUAAAAACUGACGUGACUGACAAAAUAACCGGACAGUGACACAUGAUGUGCCAUAUGUACCUCAUGCUAAUGUAUAAGACUAGUUUAUAACCGUAAGAAUGAACAGAAUUUUUAAUAGAAGUAUCAAUUUGCUUUUUGAUUUAACCGACAAGGAUUAAUUUGUUUAUUUUUUAGUAGAGAGGGCAAAAUGUAAUCCAACUCCUAAUACUAGGGCCUCCAUUAUACUUUUACCUAGUUUAAACUGUACUUCAACCAUGAAAUUAUCUUAGCACUUUAUGUUUGAAGGAAUUAGGACUCUGCAAGCUUUAAGACUACCGACCAACCAGUUCAAUUCUGUUGGUAACCUGAGCAUUCUAAUAUAAUUUUAGAUCGUGUAGGAAAGAAUGUUAAUUCUAUCCACUAAGAUAGAUAAAAUGUUCACCUAGUAAUUUUUGGUCUUGCGCGGAAGUUGUAGGAAACUGUGCAAGCAACUGCUGACAUUCUUCUUGUAACUCCUUCACAGCUUUCCUUUCCAUGCUAGGGAUCAGCGGAACAUCGCCAUCUGACCAUGUGGGCAAUGUUCUUGCAGCAGCUAUGACUGCCCCGUCAACAAAAUUAUCUCCUUUAUCUGCUAACUGACCUGAAUGUUUUGUGAAUAUAAGGUGCUGAAUUUUGUAGAAAAUAUUAACAUUAUCAUUUGAGAAGUUCUGAAAAGUUAAAACUACUCAUACUGUUAUGAUAAUACUCUCCAGGGAGACCAGAUAUAUUGAAGACCGACAAGAAAGAGUCCAAGUGAACAUGUGCGUUGCCGGAGAAUGGUAUUGAAUCCCAAGGAUUCUGCAAUGUUCAGGCCUUGACUAAGUCAGGUUAAAAAAAAAGAAGAAGAAGAUUUAAAUAUUUAUAUUGAGGAUUAAGGCUUUGCUUGGUAGGAUGGAAAGAAAAUUGGAAAGAUGGAAAACUGAAGGGGUAGAAAACUAGAAGGAUAGAAAAUAUAAUUUUUCUUUCAUAAUCUCUUCAUUUUCUCUCCUCUUAUUUUUCCAAUUUGGAAGGAUUGGUUUUUAUGCGAUAGAAAAUGGGAAAAUGGUCAUCCCUCCCAUUUUCUUUUCUCUCACUUUUCUUUCAAACCAAGCACACUCAAAAUUUAUUUUCCUUCCACUUUUCCACUCCAUCCUCCAUCCCUCCACUUUUGCACCUAACCAAGCACACCCUAAAAGUUGAAGCUAAUUACCACAGAUGAUGAGAAUCCAUAUCGUUGCAUGAGCAUCUGAUUUUGCUGUCCAUUCAUGUAAUUGAUGGUCAUCUGUUAACAUUAUGGAAUUGUAGAUACAUAUCCCAUAAUGUUAAUAAAAAACACUUAGGAUCUAACAUGGUUGAUGGCUUUAAAAGGCAAACAGCAAAGACAACACAAAGCAGGCUAAACUUUAUCACAAACUAAAUGCUCCAAUAGCUACAAAGAGACCAAAAAGACUACAAAUAAACGAUGGUUGGACCGCCCCUUGAUGUUGAAAAUUCACUUGAACAACAUUAGAAUUUAAAGAGAAUAUGGAAUAACAAUACCUCCUCUCCUUUUCUAAUCCUCUGUCCAGCGUUUAUCAUCACCUCAACCAUGCGAUCCUUAAAACGCCAAUGGAGAAAACAGUUUGGCUGAAAUGAAUGAUUUAGCAUGUCUGCGCUGACAAAUGGAUACACAUCAAAAAGCAUAUUAAAAUAUUAGAUAAGUAAGAGAAAUAAUAACUUAAAGGAAAUAUGAUGGCAGUCAAUUUGUAGAUAAGGCAGGGAGGUAUUAGUGAUGCCAAAACAGGCCAAAGCUUUGGUCGAAAAAGACAAUAAAUGAAGGAGAAACAGUUGAAAGGAAUGGUCUAUAAGAAAAACAAAAAAUCUUGUCAAGCCCUGCAUUACUUUUAACUUUUUGACCAGCCAUCAUAGACAAGAAGGCAUAGAAAUGAAAAAUAGAGGAGCCCCGUGCAGCAAGAUCACCAGACCAGCAUAGGGAAUUAGCAUAUUUGCAUCUUGAACUAGUGCACCGAUCCUAACUUGCAUGUUAAUGCAUCGUGACUGUGCAAUGCUAACAGCCCAAAUGAAUCUCUCAGGAUCACGAGCAAGGCGCUUUAUUUUCAGAGGAACACCGGAAUGCUGAGCGAGGUUAAGCACACAAACAAGUCAUAUUAGAGUGAGCAAGAACUUCUUUGAAGAAACGAGAGGUAAAAUGUUUAUUGUCAUAAUGAUAGAUGGGUUGCUUAUACCCAGUUCUUUUCCCAAAAUUCUAAGGCUCUUAAUUGUUGAUUUUUCAUAGUUGAAACAAGAUCAGGAUCCUGCAGCUGUGAGAGGUCGUCCUGCAAGGAUUGAGCAAGCUGUGAGUACAACAAGUUGCUUCCCACAUAGUUACUCUUAGAAUUAUGCUAAAAUCCCAAUCCUUUGCCAUUUAACAACCAUAACCAAUGCUUUAAUGAUAUCAUUAAGAUAUAUCACUCCCACCAUUAAUUCAUCAAAGAAAAAAACUGUAAUUUAGCAAAACAUAAAAGGGAACUCGAAAUAAAGUAAAAAGCAAGAAAAUACACACACCUCAGUAGCAAGAAGCAAGCUAGUGCACUCAUCAGCACUAGGUAAGAAGUCUCCAUAUAGUUGCCAAAAGUUAUCCUCCUUAUCAAAUGCAUACAAGAGAAGGCAUGCCAAUCUCAGAUCCCAAUCUGUCUGCCAAGAAAGACGCCAUGAAUUACAUUGAAGAACAGCGCAAUUAGUGUUAUAGUACAAAUCAAAUAGUGUGCUAGUGAAUUCACCAAAUUUGAACAAUAAAUGCAGAAAACUUGAAAUGAUAAUUUAAGUCUUUCAUAUAAAGGAAAAUUCGAAUUACCUCAGGAUUGGUUGAGUUUUUGAUAUCAAAUAUGGGAUGACCUAGUGGCACUAUAUCCGGGAAGAACAUCCAUGGCAACUUCUGCCUUAUUGUCAACAUCAAUUCCAAAGGUAUUUCCAUAAUUACCUGUUCAGUCAAGUAUUGAAAGCAUAGUUACCAACACAUACACACAGAUAUCAUAGCAAGAGAAUAUAUGGUAGAAAAGGGUUACAGUGAGAAUUUAGAAGCAAAUGACAAAAGUGAAACAGACUCUAGCACGACGAAGAGGUUCAACAUCUUUGGAGGCAUAGACUCCAAAACCAUCAGGACCUUCCUUAAACUCAAUUCCAUAAGCUCUCAUACUUCGAGCAUAACCUAUCUUGUAGAAAUCAGGGUCCGCAGGCUCCAACUAUAAAGGAAAACAAAAGCAACUGAAUGGUUUUAAAAACCCAAAACGGAAAAAAAAAAGUAAUAGGAAGAGUGAAUUGAUAAGCCAUGAGCAUAUACCUGAGAAGGAGAUUCUUGAACUGGGGUAGGCUGAAAGAGUGGAAACGAAGGAGUUCCAACCGAAGCAUUAAUGGGUCUCAAACGAUACUUGGUCGCUGGUGCUGGUGACCACCCAUGACUAUGAAAAUGAGUACGACGAUAUUCUCUUUCUGGACAAGCAUAGGUGAAGCACCCACUGACAUGAUGAAGGGGAACAAAUGAGGCCGCCAUUGGACUUUGGAGACUACAGGAAAGUGAGUCUAUUGGAGUUCAAAAUGGAACCAUGAUUGCAUCACUGGCACUGUACUACUCCGGUACUGAUAAUUUCCUUUCGUUCUUAGGACAAGAAGAUCAAUUCUAACUCUUAAAAACUCGAAAAGAAGAAGCCAUUACAAAACGUUAUCCGCUCGCAACCAGAGACCAGGCUAGAGCAUAGUGCGAAGGGGUGGCACAAAUGGUAGCCCAGCCCAUCAUAACCAGCCUUAGUCACGCAUGGCCCAUCCUAUCUGUUAACUUGCAUCUUCAAAAGGCCUGAUUUUCGUUUCUUACAAGCUUUGAUCCAUUUUUCUUUUAAACAGAAAAAAUGGGAUAUUUUCUAUCGAUUUUUAGAAAUCCAGAUAUUCAAGCUCAAUUUUAAUUUUUUUAACAAUAAUUUUGAUUAUAUCUAUUCUUUUUGACAUAAUGUCUAGAAUUGUACAUAGUCUCUCCCCAAUCCAUAAAUAAGAGAAUAAUACGCUUUAGCGCAUCCAAACCAAUAUCCUCUUACAUUAAUAACAAUGCACAUAUCAAUUGAAUUAAGACUCAAUCGGCUCGAAUAUUUAAUUUGACAUUGUUAGUAAUAGUUUUGGGAUAAAAUUGAAUAUUUUAAAGUUGAAUUAAUUUUAACAAAACAAGAAGAGGUUGAUAUAAUACUACUAGGCCACCAUUCAUUUGAAACUUUUUUUUGUUUUUUUUUGCUUACCAAAUUUGAUGCUUCACCAACAGACCACAUGCUUGUCAGCCAUUUGAAACUUAUUAUCAUAUAGUGUGAAAAUCAGGAAAAGGAGAAAUUAUUUAUAGGAUCUGAGUUGCUAUUAAUAUGGUAAUGGACCAUGAAUGGGUAGCAGUUAUGGUCCAAAAGAAUUUCUGUUGUAUUGAAUUGUUUUUGGGAUAAUUAAUUAAUCUUCUUAUUUUAUUUGAGUUACCUCUUUUCUAUUAUGUUUAUCUAUCCAUAUUAUUGCUAGAAUCUGUUCAUUAUGCUGGUGUCGUCAUGACCUAGUUGAAAAACAACCAAAAAUAUUCAAUUUUAACAUUCAAAUAAAAUAAAGGGUAUAACUGUUGUCUAAAAUAAAGUAUUAAAGUAUUUUUUUAUUAAUUAUCUUCAAAAUUGACAGACAGUUCAUUUAUAAAAACUAACCGUAUUAUAUUUCUCAAUUUUUUAUUUCCAUUGUUAAUUGAGGGUGUAUGGGAAUUUAGGGGGUAUAAUGUGAUUGUGUUCUGUCUGAUCAUAUAAUGUUAUAAAAUUAUAAGAUUUUAAUUUAUUUCUGUCACUCGUUACCUAGAACAGCACUUGAUGAAGAUAAUUAAUCAUCAAAGCAUUAUGUCGUGCAUAUAAUUGAUAAACAAUUGCCUUACGCUUAAGAGCCUUCUGCAGUUCAUCGAGAAAACUCCAUGGAUUUCAUUUUAGGUGAAAACCUAGCAGUAAGUCAAACGCGGCUCAGACUUGUAGUUGAGGAAAAUUUUCCUUCAUGGUUAAGAUUAAGUGAUCUAUAUACUUGGCGCACUUACAUGUAUAAAUUCACAAGUUCAUUAGUAAGGAGUUACUAGCUAUAAGGUGAAAAUUGAAAAGAAGAAAAAUGCAUCAUCCUCCACCACCUGCAGACGCCCAUCAUCCUCACCAAUCCCACCACCCGCAAUCGCCACCCCAUGCUUCGGCUCCAGGUCCACCACAUACUAAUCACCCUCAUUUAGAUCAUGCUCCUCCUCCAAGGCCAGGUCUUCAUGCGCCACCACUAGGACCAAGUCAUCCUCUGGGUUCAAUACAUGAGCAUCCUCAUCCAGGCUAUGCUCCUCCUCCAAGGCCAAGUCCUCAAGCGCCACCACCAGGACCUGGUCAUCCUCCAAGUCCACCACAUGCCGAGCAUCCUCCUCCAAGGCCAAGUCUCUAUGCGCCACCACCAAGACCAGGUCAUCCUCCAGGUCCACUACAUGAGCAUCCUCCAAGUCCACCACAUGUUGAGCAUCCUCCUCCAAGGCUAGAUCCCCAUGCGCCACCGUUAGGACCAGGUCAUCCUCCAAGCCCACCACAUAAUGAUCAUCUUCAUCCAGACCAUGCUCCCCCUCCAGGGCCAGGUCCCCAUGUGCCACCACCAAGACCUGGACAUCCUCCAGGUGCAUCACAUGCUGAGCAUUCUCAUCCAGGCCAUGCUCCUCCUCCAGGACCAAGUCCCCAUACGCCACCACCAGAACCAGGUCAUCUUCCAAGUCAACCACAUAUUGGUCAUCCUCAUCCAGGCCACGCUCCUCCUCCAAGGCCAGGUCCCCAUGCACCACUACCAGGUCUAGGUCAUCCUCCUGAGCCACACAAGCCUCGUCCAUGACACCACACUGCAUAUCCAAUACAAUGUGAACCUUAGCUUGGUACUUGAGCGACUCUUUCACCAGUUUCGUGUUAUUUAUGUAAUAAAUUGAUAAAAACUAUUUCUACUAAAAUAAUUUAAUAAAAUAAAGUAGCAUGUUUGAUAUAUUUUCUAGGUUAUGGAGGAUAAGACUUAUAUAUAUUAAAGAGACACUACCUUUCGUUGUAGGCAUAUAAUGAACAUUUGAAGAAUAUAAUGAAAUCAAUUGAAAGAUAAAUGAUAAUAUAAUGCAUUAACAUUAAGAGAAUUAUCUAAAAAUAAAAAGUGAACAUUAACAUAAUAAAAUGAAAUAAAUUAAAAUAAGAAAACAUGAAUGUAGAUGAGACUUGUGUAUGGAAGGAAAUAAGAUAAAUUGCCAAAAUUAACUUAAGUGUAGUGAAAAAGAAAAUGUCAACAUAUUGUCACUGUUAGAAUCAAAACCACUAGUUUCAAUCUGAAGUUAGCAAUGGAUAGAUAUAAAUAAAAUCAACUUUUAUAUUAAUACUAUUUGUCGAAAUCAUUUUUUUACAAGGGGUCAAUUUUAAUUUUGAAAACAAAAACAAACAUGAGAGUCGCUACCAAUCCUUUUUGAUGAGGUGGGAUCGAGUCACCUCGAAAAAUGGUUGUUUUUUAAUAAAUGGUUUGAUUUAUUAAAACAACGAUUUCGGUUUACAGAAUUCAGAAUAAACAGGUUCGUGAGUCGGUUACGUACGAGGAAGGAUUAGCACCCUCGAAAUGCCCAAAAUUGAUACAUAAUUGAUUAAUUAGUGUCUUAAUGUCGAAAAUUAAAAACUUUGAAGAGAAUUAAAAUAUGAUCCUUUGUUAAAUUUGCUUAAUUGAAUUUUUUUUUAGAAAAUGGCAUAUUUCACGUUAAUUGAAAAAAAGAAUUAUGUCCCGUAAGUUAGGACACAAUAUCUUAAAUCACCAAAAUGAGAAUAAACACCGAAAGUUUUAUUAUUUUAGUUUUAUUAUUUUAAAGGAUAUGCGAUAUCUUAAUUAAAAAAAAGAAUCAUAUUUCGUAAGUUAGAACACGAUUUUUUAUUAAUUCCCGAGAUGAUUAAAAAAUUUAUGUUAAAAAAGGAUUCGUGUAUUCGGAUUUAUCGAGAAAAUCGAAACCCCGUAAGUUAGGAAAAAACUUUUUGAAUUCAGAAAUACGAAAUAUUGCUUAUUUAGAACAACAUUUUUAAUAUAUCAAGUAAAAUGUAACACAAUUUUGUAGUAAAAUGUGAAAUAAAUUACGGUGCUAAUAUGCAUAGCAGAAUAACAAAAAAUACAUUAAUGUGAACAAAAAUAUAAAGAACGAAAAUAAAAUAAAAUAAAAUAAACAAACCAAAAAUAAAAAGACAAAUAAUAAGGAUAACGAACUAAAAUUUAAAACUAAAGACUUAAUAUUAUAUAAAUAAAUAUUGUAUAAAGCAAUUUAAGAAUAAUAAUAUUAAUAAUAAUGACGAUGAUAUUAAUAAAAAUAAUAAAAAUAAUCUAAAACUUUAAAAUUAUAUAAGAGGAUAUAAAUAAAUAGAUGAUAAAUAUAAGAGAAAUAUAAUAAUAAUAGUAAUAAUAAUGCAAAAUUAAUUAAUUUAAUAAUAUAAUAAUAACAAGUAAAUAAAUAAAAAAAAAUAUAAAAUAAUAAUAGUAAUAAUAAUAUUAAAUUAAUUGAUUUAAUAAUAAAAUAGCAAAAAUAACAAAAACAAAUGGGCCAAAUUGAACUUUAAAACAGAAGUUUGGGGCAAAUCAGAAAUAAAUAAGACGGAAAAGGACCAAUUUGAACGCGCGAAUAACAAGAAGGGACCGAAAAAGAAAUAAUCCCCACCCUCCAAAACGCACAGCUUCGAGGUGGACCAAAUUGAAAGCAGAAACAAAUUAUAGGGCAAAAUUAAAAAAUAGAAGAAACUUGAUUGCAAACAAUUAAAAAUCGGAAGGGUUAAAAGCGCAGUUAGCCCUUCCAUUCAAAAAAGCGGAUCCUAGUAGCGGGUCGGGUUGGCGCGCGGGUUAGACACAAAACGAUGACGUUUUGGUGCCUGAGAGGCCUGCCCAAAACGGCGCCGUUUUAGAAACCUAUUUAAGUCAGUUGACAAAAAUCAUUUCGCCCUUUGUUCAGAAAAAAAAAAAAACCUUAAAACUCUAUCCCCCUCUCUGGUUUUCUCUGGGCACUGCCCAGUAUCCGGCGAAUGGAGCCGCCGUGGCGCCAUCAUGUAAGGUGGUCGGAGGCCCCCAGGUUAGUUUCCGUCCUUUUUUUCUCUCUUUUUUUUAUAUUAUAUAUGUAUAGUUUUUUAAAUAAAAGGAAAAUAAAAUUUUUUGAAUAGGAGCAGUUUCGAAACUGGAAAAAUAAAGAAAAAAAUGACCUUCUCACGUUUCCCUUUGGUUUUUUUUUCUUCGAUCUGCUUUGCUGCUUGUUGUUCUUAUGCUUGAAUCUGUUUUUGUAUUUUACAAAAAAAAAAAAACCCCCCCGAAGAAAAAGAUUACAAUCGGUUCAAAAUGGCUUUAUAGCCAAUUUUUACACAUUUUUUAGUCUAUUUUGCAUGCUGUCACUUCUUGCUUUUAAUCUUUGUAGGUGCAAAUGGGCGGUGCAAGUGGAGGGCGGUGCUGCAGUGGCGGUGGCAGGGCUGUCAGGGGCUAGGUGCGGCGGCAGCAGGCUUGGGUUUCAGUUUUUUGCUGACACUGAGUUUAGUUUUGGGCCAAUCGGGCCGCCUAUGGUUUUAGAGUUUUGGUUUGGGCCAUUUGGGCAUGUUGUAAAUGGACUGGACUUUACUAAUUGUUUUGUUUUAUUUUAUUUUUGGGUUGUUUGUUUAGGGCCCGGGCAAUUUGGGCUGAUUACACGAUUUUUCUAUCAAUUCAUUAAAAUUUUAAAUUUUGCACUAUCAUCAUUAAUUUAUUAUUUUGAAAUUUCAAAAAUAGUUUGUAAUCGUUGUAAAGAGGAUCAAACAACAAAAGAAACCUUAAAUUCCAAGAAACACUAUAACAGUUGAGGAGAACAGAAGUUCAAAGCGAAAGGAAAAAGCAUCAUACCUCUGAAUUAAUUUAUGAAGUCAACAUAUUAGCUUAGAAUAAUGAACAAUUAAACACAUUACAAACGAAAACCAUAAAAAUACAAAAAUAAUUAGCAACCGGCAGCCCAGCCCACUAUAGCCAGCCUCUGUCACACUUAGCCCAUCCUAUCUGUUAACUUUUACAUCGAAAUGGCCCGACUUGUGUUUCAUCCAAACUUCUAUCAAUUGAGAAAAUUUUGGGAUAAUUUCUAUAGAAAUUCUUACAAAAUUUCAGCCAAUGUUUGUUAGUAUUAGUAAAAAUAAUAAACUCUUCUAAACUCUUAGAUGUUGAUGGCCUAAUUCGAGUAAAUUUUAACUUGUACGGUUAUAGCUGUCCAAAAAAAUUAUUUUAAAGUUUAAUUAAUUGAAAUGAAAAUAAAAACAAGAUUCACAGGAUGCUACUAGGCAACUAUUUAAAUUAGUAAAAUUCAUUUGAAGUCGAUUGAGUCUUAACUUGAUUGGUAUUGGUGUCAGUGCAGGAAAAUGUAGGUUUAAGUGCGCUAAAACUCAUUAUCCUUCUAUUUAAAGGUUAAAGAUGGACUAUAAAUAAUUUUAGACAUGGUAUAAAAAAAGUAAAUAUAUUAAAAACUUAUAAUAAAUCUAAUAUUAAAAAAAAACCUCAUUUGAAACAGUUUAGUCGCUAAUGUUAUUCUACUGGGCUAAGAAUAUGAAUGAGUUAUAUAAUUAGUAAACUUACUAUACUUUUUUAAAUUUUAAAAAUUCACUCUUAAUUACAAUAAUUAUUGUUAAAUUCAUUAAUUACAAUGUCGUAUAUUUCUUUAACUAUUAUAUUUUAAUGACUAUUGUUCGUCAAGAUUGAAAUUUCAAAUAUUAAAAAAAAUAUAAGAGCUAAAAAUAAUUAAAUUAGAGUCGAUUGAGUCUUAAUUUGUUGGCAUUGACCUUGUUACCAAUAUAUAAAUUUGAGUUUGAGCGCGUUGAAUAGUAUUUAUUCCCUUAUUUAAAGGUUGAGAAAAUGGUUAGGUAUACUUAUAAACAUCUUAUAAAAAAUAAUUUAGAUUUUUUUUUACAAUGACACAUAUGAACAAAUAAAACUAAAAUUAAUAAUUAAAUUAUAAGGAAUUAAAUAAACAAUUUACGGAUAGUAGAGGGAGAUUAAAACAUUUUCCUGUCACCCAUUUUUUUUUAUAGCAGCAGUUGAUGAAGAUAAUGUUAUACAGAAAGGUGUCAUCAAAGCACUGCAUCGUACAUACAACCAAAAAAACAAAUGACUUUCUGCUGUUUACUUUUUUGACCAUCCAGGGAACUCCAUGAAUGUUUUUUUGGUGAAAACCUACCACCACCGGCAAAUCAAACUUGGCUUUGACUUGUAGUUAAAAAGCAAAGUCCUUCAUGGUUAAGGGGGGGGGGGCACUUACAAGUAUAAAUUCACAACUUCCCUUGUAACACAAUCUAGCUAGCUACAAGGUGAAAUUUGAAAAGAAGAGAAAAAAUGCAUAAUCCACCACCACCAGACCCCCACCACCCACAUCCGCAACCCCAUGCUCCGCCUCCAGGUCCGCCACAUGCUGAUCAUCCUCCUCCAGGCCAUGCUCCUCCUCCUGGGCCAGGCCCCCAUGCGCCACCGCCAGGACCAGGUGGUCCAGGUCAUCAUCCCGAGCCACACAAGCCUCGUCCAUGAUCCUUAUACCGUGAAUACAAUAUUAUGUAAGCUUAGGCUGGGUACCGUACUUAUGUAAUAAAUUAAGAAAACCUAUUUCUACUAUAAUAAUAAUAAAGAUGUAAUUUCUACGUUAUGGAGGCCAUGGCUUAUAUGGGCACUUUUAUUUUUGCUUAAUUUGUCAUGAGCAUGAGGAUUAAUUUGUCUUAAAUUGCUCUUUUUCUUUUACUGGUAUGGCUGAUUAUCAAUUUUAUUUAUUUUGUGUUUAAACAAAAUACCACCUGGACAUCAAAUAAUAAUGUUAAAUUAAUAAUUGUGAUUAAAGGUGAGGAUAUGACCAAGUAGCCCAUUUGGGUUUAAGCUCGUAAUUGGGCUUGGCUUAUUUAUUACUAAUAGAUCGGCUCUUGUAUCCACUAAUACAAGUUGGGAUUCGGCUUAAUCUUUUAAGUAAUUAAAAAAAUUUCCUUCUUUUUCUAACAUAUAUACAUAUAAAUAUUUUUAAAAAUCGUAUGAAUUUUUUAGAAUUUACAUGCUAAUAGUAAAAAAAUAAUUUAAAAAUAGAUCACUAUACUUAUAAAAUAAGAAAAUGUUGAAAACUGUGCAUCAAACAAUUAAACAAAUAUUGUAAGAAGAUAAUAGUUAAUGUGCAUCUCAAUUUUAUAUAUUUAUUUAACGCAUCAAAAGAAUAUUAAAAUAUAAAGGUAUGGAACAACAAAUGCUGUCUAUGAAAGUGCAAGUUUUUUUGGUUCUUUUUCCUUCUAUCUUUUUUCUGUAUGUUCGGUUUUGUUUUUAGGCCAAGUGCCAAAUAAGUGAAUGUUAAACUUACAAAGAAACACGGUGCGCCUAAUUGUAUUCUAUUUUUGAAUGUUCAUAUUGCCGUCUAAUAAUACGGGUUUUUUUUUAUUCUUGAAAACAAAUAAAAUGUAUAUUUUCUAUGAAUCAAUGGAAUUGGACCGUCAUCACUCUGAUAACAAAACACACCAUACACAAUUUUAUUUAAAAAAUUCACCAAUUAAAAUGUUUUAUUAUUUUAAGAUUCUUUUGUAAUUUUAAAAAUACAACUUUAAAUAAAAAUUAUUUUUAAUUAUUUACUAACAUUGUCUCGUGUAUAAAAAUUACUAACUCAUUAUUAAGAAAACACUUUUUUUGACCAUUAAAGUUGUACUAAUUCAUGCUUAAUUAUCCAUCAGUAAAAUAGGGCAGUUGGUAUUUUUUUUUUAUUGACACAGAAUUCGACUUUAAAUAUAACAAUUAUUCUUAAUUAAAAUUUUAAAAAAAUGUUAUAAUAAAAAUCAAUAUUACUAACACGCAAGAAAUGCCUUAUGGACAACUUGCCACAAGUACAGGCCAACAAAACAGAUUCCUUGUCAUUUUCAACCUUACGUAAUUUAUUUAUGGUCAAUAUUUUUAACUAAUUAAUUUGGAAAUAACUUUUACUUUCUUUCUUUUUCUUUUAUUCUUUUUAACUUUUUCCUUCAGAUUGCUUCAAAUAAAAGGAAGAGAAAAGCAUAUUAAAUCUUGCAAAAGAAAGAAAGAGGUUUCAUAGAAUUAAGCUACUCUUUAGAGUCACAUAUGUUUUGAGGCUCAAAUUGUUGCACCCAAUCAAAUUAAACAUAGUAUUAGUAUCUGAUUUUAUGCAAUCAUAGCUAAAGAUUGUUGAAAAAUAUAAAUAUCAUAGCUUAAGAUUAGAGGUGUACAUGGGUUGGGCCGGGUUCAACUAAAAAUUUAGGCCCGUUUGUUAGGUUCGGGCCUGACCCAGUCCGCCUAUAUUAAUUUUUAUAUAAUUUUAAAAUAUAUAUAAUACAUCAAAAAUACUAAAAACAUCAAAAUAAAUAUUUCCUAACAAAUUUAAAAAUAUGUAUACUGAUAGAUGCAACUUAACAAGCAAAUGCCUCUAAAAUAAUAACAAAAUUAACAAAAGUCUUUAAAAUAAUAACAAAAUUAACAAUAAAAUAAGUUUUAUACAAUAUCCAAAUAAUAAUAACAAAAUAGCAGCAAUAUAAUAGAAAAAUGGUCGCAAAAUAGGGAGAAAACAACAAGAAAUUAAUAUUAAAAAAAUUGUCCUUUAGUGAAUUCGGGCCGGGCCUGGCCGUAGCCAAAAAUGCCUUACCUAAGGCCCGACCAAUUUUUUAAACGGGUGUUAUUUUUUUGUCCAAGCCCAUUUUUCGAGCCUAUAUUUUAACCCAAACCCUCUCACUUUUUGAGUGGGCCUUCGUGCAGGGCCGGGUGGCCCAACCCAUGAGCAGGCCUACUUAAGAUUAAUGCAUGUUAUUAAUUCACUUAAUUAAUACAUUAUUUUUCAAUAAUUGUUUUAAAUACAUUUGAAUUAUGGGAAGAGGCUUUAAAGAUAUUGUAUCAUAUAAUUUAAUUAAAUAAAAUAAUAAUAAGAGUCAAAUUGAUAAAAAAAUAUAAAUGUUGAGUGAUAAAUAUAAUACUAUAUUAUAUGCGUUAGUAACAUUUAAAAGUCUAAUGAACAUUAAUUUAAUUGACAUAAUUACAAUUGCAACAAUUAAGUAAUGUGUAAUUGACAAAAAUAUUAUUAUUAAGAAAAACUUAAAAAUUAAGUGAACCUUAAUUUAGUUGUAAGUAAAAUUUAUUUUUUAAGUCAAACCUGACGCGGAUAAAUGAGAAAAGAGAUGGACCCUAACACAUAAUUUUGUCAUGAGCUCCUACUAAAAUAUUGUCAUUCAAAAUCUCCAAUCGAAGAUCCGAACGGUGAUCAAAUUACCGAUACAGUUGAAGGCGAUGCGGGUGAUGAACGGCAGCAUAGAAAGAAGAUGAAAGGCGGUGGAUAAGAUUGAUACUGUAGCGAGAAAGAAAAGUGGAGGAAGCAAUAUUGUGGGGUCAGCUUUUGGUUAAUUUAAUUUCCAUUGUUGGUAAUAAGAUUCUUGAGAUUUAAGAAUACAGAAAAGCCAAGUAUGAUGGGCUAAGAAAAGAACCUACCUUAGUGACCAUUCCUACAAAGACAACUAUCUCCAUAGUCCAUACCAAACAUUGAACCUUUUAACAUAAAAUAUAUUCAAACCAGAUUUGUUUCUUUUAAUCUCUCUAGAUAUUCUCUUUUUCUUUAUUUAGUUUUUGUAUCACUCCCUUUAUGGGAAAAAAAAGCCAAUUAAAGAGAAAAUCCAACGUCAUUUUCUUUGCAUCAUCGUCAUCUUUUCCCUAUCUUAUUCCCUGUCUUGUAAUUAAACACUUGGGAUCAUCGUUGCCUAAAAAAACUUCAUUUUCAAUUUUAUUUUUGUCACAAUUCUACCACCACUAAAAUUAAACAAAUCCCUUGAUUUAACAUUUUCACUUUGUUUAUGAUCAUCAUUAAUUUUGCAUUAAAAAACAAUCUCACGUUUAUAUCUUUUUCCUGGAACUUCUUCUUCUUCCACUUUCCUAGCAAACACGCAUGAAUUUCAUAGUAAGAAAAGAAAAGAAAUUAACAUUUAACAUCAUAUUAUAUUUAAGUUCAAGAUGGACUUGCAGAAUAUAUAUUAUAUUUAAGUGGAGAAAAUAGGGUGAGACAGGUCAAUAUUAGAGGGAGGACAUUUCCUGUGCCGUUGAUGGUGAUGGCAACAUUUGAAAAGGAGAAAAGGGUUUAUGGGAAAACGAAAGCGUUAAGAAAAAACACAACCAUUUGCAACGGAACUGAUUUUCAGCCACGCUUUCAUAAGAAAAAUCUGGAAUUCUUAUUUCAGUCACAUUAUAAUUAUUAUAUUAUAAUAAUAAUUACGAAGAAGGUGUUUUUUUUUUAUUUUUUAAAAGAAAGAAAGUGGCAACCAAUCCAAUUAUAUACUCUCAACGAAUCUUCUCAGUUCUCCCCACUCCAUAAUUUUCUUUUGAUUCUCACUUUCUUUUCUCUAUUUGUGUCUAGUUUUCCUCCUGUUACUUUGGAUACGCUUACCAUUUCUUUUCCUUUCCUUUAUUAUCAUCAAUAGUACCAUGUGUGUUGAAGAUAUAGAACAGGUCAGCCAAGAAAUGGAGGACCUUGGUGAUGGCAGUACCAACAAAAAGCCUUGGCCUUUACUUUCUAGGGGUGAUUUCUUGAGUACCCAGAUGGAGAAUUGGGUUCACAAAGACUCUCCCUUUCCCCUGGCCGUGGUAGCUGGCAGCAAUAGAGUAAGUACCCAAACUUCAUUUCCUGCAUCAUUUUUGCUUUUGAUAACACAGUUUCUUAUGAUUAUGUUUUGGGUAUUUCUUGUUUUUGUUAAUCCUUUGCUUCAAGUUGAGAAAUUUGUCCCAGUAAAUGUGCUUUUGGCAGCAUUAAGCUUUAUGGAAAAUAGCCAAUUUUUUGUACCUUCUUCCCUGUAUAUGUGCACUUUUCAUGUUUUGAUGGAUUACAAAAGUUGCAUCAGCUACUUAUAUUCAGUUUGGUCAGGUUGAUGAUCAAUCAUGUUUGUAUAUUUUCACUUACAUUCAGCUUCUGACUGUGUUGGAAGUGGAUUCUGAUUAUAUUAGGAGAGACAGGAACUGACAUCGUUCUAAACAUUGAAUAUAACACAAUAGUGGGGUUGUGAUCAAUAGUAUAUAAACUUUGAUAUUCAGGGUCUAACUGUCAAUAUAGUUGAAGAAUUUUCACAAGUUAGCUUUAUAUUUUGUAGGGUUUUGCUAUUAGCACUCAGAUAGUGUUGUCUUUUUUCUAUAGAUUGGUAUUCAUGAUAUUACAUUGCUAUUCUUUGUUUAAGGCUAUAUUCUUCUUUUAUUCAGUUGUAUCUGGAUAGGAGUAGGUUCGGUUAUUACCAUUGACAACGCUUCUGCUGUUUCUUUUAUGGUAUUUCACUAAUUGUCUUGUUUCUCAUUUGUGUUUCAUUCAGCUGGAAAGUAUUUCUGAGGAAACAGUUGCCACAGACAAAAAACAUGACCUGUUGACAAAUUUUAUUCCCACUCUUCGGUCGGGAGAGUGGUCUGACAUUGGUGGUCGUCCUUAUAUGGAGGAUACUCAUGUAUGCAUUGCAGACUUGGCUAAGGAUUUUGGUCGAAAUUUAAUGAGUGAAGAUACUGUUUCCUUCUAUGGUGUAAGUUUGCAAACAAUCCUUUUUCUCUCUAAGAUGCUGUCCUGUUAAACUUUCAAAUAUCUCUACCUGUAAUCUGUUCUCGAGUAUUUGCAAUUUAUUUUAGAAUAUGGAGCUAGAACCUUUGUGCUGUCCAUCAACUAACCGAAUUCGAAAAACAAAUAAACUGUCAUCUCUGAAGUCAUAUUUUCUUCCCUAAUUUUAAACUAUGUUUUCCAGAUGUUCAUAAAAUGUUUGAACCUGUUGCUUCCAACAAAAGGAUUGAAAGUUACUGCUAUGAACUUAGUUUCCAAUGAAGCCUUGGCAUCAUUGGCAAAGGCUGAGGCCCUGGGACCUGUAGUGCCUAUGCCCGAGUCCCACCAUGUGAAAUUUAUGAUUCAGUUCUUGUAAUGAUUGAUUGAUUCUGAUUGGAACUGUUGACAUAGUUAGUUGUAGCUCUACUGUAAGCAAGGACGAUAAAUUUGAUGCAGAGUUGUUUAUUUUCUGUUUAAUUGCAAAAACCUGUUCAUUUAGAAGCUCGUAAGCAUUCUCUUUUUUGACAUAAAAAAGAACAGGUUUUUGAUGGGCACGGGGGCAAGGAUGCAUCUCAAUUUGUCCGUGAUCAUUUGCCUAGAGUUAUUGUUGAGGAUGCUGAUUUUCCCUUAGAUAUAGAGAAAGCAGUCACCAGGUCAUUCAUGGAGACGGACGCUGCAUUUGCAAAGUCAUGCUCUCUCGAGUCUGCUCUGGCUUCUGGCACUACUGCUCUCACUGCUAUGAUAUUUGGGAGGUAAGCACUCCUAAAGCUUUUCUUGUUGGCCUUAUCGUGCUUUUAUCUUCCUUCGAAAGAGAUCAAACCAAGAUAGACGUUGAGGGAGGUGAGAUUACACAAUUCAACGCAUGCGAGUUUGGAAAAGUGAAUCGAUAGUCUGGACAUUUUUGUAAUUUGUUUUCUCUAUAUGUUUAAAUCAGCAUGUAAGGUUUUUGCUUUGUCUGAAAGGGAUGAUCUUAAUCUUUUACAGGUCAUUACUUGUUGCAAAUGCUGGGGAUUCUAGGGCUGUACUAUCACGGUGCGGAACAGCCAUAGAGAUGUCAAAGGAUCAUAGGCCCUGUUGCAUGAAAGAAAGGAGACGAAUUGAGUCUCUGGGUGGAUUCAUUGAUGAUGGUUAUCUUAACGGUCAACUAGGUGUCACUCGGGCAUUAGGCAAUUGGCACCUCGAAGGCAUGAAAGAAAUGGGCGAGAGAAUUGGACCCCUAAGUGCUGAACCAGAACUCAAAAUGAUAACAUUGACCAAGGAAGAUGAGUUUUUGAUCAUCGGGAGUGAUGGAAUAUGGGACGUUUUUACCAACCAAAAUGCCGUAGAUUUCACAAGGAGGCGACUCCAAGAGCACAAUGAUGUCAAGUUAUGCUGCAAAGAAAUGGUUGGUGAAGCAAUAAAACGAGGAGCAACAGACAAUUUAACAGUUGUUUUAGUGAGUUUCCACUUGGAGCCACCUCUCCCUUCUAUCAUACAACGGGCAAGAUUCAGGCGAAGCAUUUCUGCCGAAGGGCUUCAAAGUCUCAAAUGCCUCUUAGAAGGAUAAGUUCUAUAUGUCCGUUCAUCGUUCAAUACGCAGUUUACAAAAGAGAAAACUAGGUAUGAAUUAUGAUCUUCUUGUGCAUAUGCAUUCAUCAAGCAACCGAAACCCAAAAGAAUCGAAUUAUCGUUCGUAAUUUGAUACAUUUUAGAUUCUAUUUCCCAGCUUCCUACUGAAGCUGUAGGAUAAUUCGAGGAACAGAAUUGAUUUGUAUAUCUGUGCACUGUUCGUUGUAAACAGAAACAAUUGUGUUAAAUAUAGACAUUUUGUAAGCUGGUUUGCCUUUUUGCUUUGGGACCAAUAACUACUGUGCAAAUUAUAUGGGAAACAACUCAAUAUGUACAGCCAUCAAUGGUCGCAGCAGUGAACCGAAAAACAGUGUCCCGAUAGACCACCACCUAGCGAGAAAGCAUUUACUCAUCUGCAUGGUCCACUCAAAUCUUAGUUCUCGAGGCCACAACAUGUGAGCCCACAUGUAAGAGUGACCACUGACCAUUCGAACACUAUAAUCAAUAAGUGAAACAUGGUGGGUCUAGCCCAAAAUCCAUGGGGUGGGUCAUUAACUGAGUAAAGAAAAGAAAAAAACACACAAAGGGUCUAUUUUACAGAUAAGGCUCGACGUCCAUACCUACUUUCAUUUAAAGACUUUGGCCUUCUUUAAAUUUUCGUUCUUAGGUCCCCCAUUUCUGCACUUUUAUUAAAUUCUGUCGACAUCCCAUUUUUUUUUAUAUCUCUUGUUAAGAUCUAAGACCAAUAUCAUACUAAUGCAUGUCUGCCAAAAUUUAAAUCCAUAGGUUUUCCUUUGUUACUUGUUAAGUUUCUGUGCAUCAUUACUCAAUAACCAAAAGCGAUGGUUUAACAAAUAAGUAUGAUAAUUAGUUAUAGAAUAUUUAUAUAUACAAAAAAAGCUCAUUCUCUCUAACCCUAAAAAAACUGCAGCAUUCCUGGAAAGCUGUCAAAUUUCCCAUUCCUUUAAAUUAUUUUUUCCUGGAAAACUUUUGCUUCUUUUUUUAAUAUUGUCUUUGAUUUUUUUUCCCACCUAUACAUUCUUAGUUGUGUAUUGGAGGUUUUCUCUUGGCUGGUGAAUAGUCCAUUUCAGCUAUCUCCAUAAUGUCCGCGUAUUGGUCCUGUUGUUCGGAACUUGUCGGCGAACUAACAGAAACUUUCUCUUGCUUUUCACCAUUUUCUUGGUUUCCUGAUUUGACUCUUGUAGUAGGGUUAGCUUUCUUAUAAUCUCCACCAUCUUCGCUCUGUAAAAGCACAUAAUGUCAACAUAAUAUAUAUCUAAACUCAAAACCCUAUAUAUAUAUAUGAAGUUAUACCUUUGAACUGGUGGAAGAUGCAGUGGUAGUUGCAGUAGUAGUUGCUGUAAGAAGUUUCCUACUGUUUCCUGCAAAAAAAAAAAAAAACUGAAGGUGAAAAGGAAAAUUCUGGUGUAGUGCAUGUCAGUUGGAUCUUUCACAAUAUGCCCCCAUAAAUAAAAAUUCAACUCAAAGGGUACAAAGCUUUUUUUGUCAGAAUGUAGCGAGAGACUUGGUUCUUAUGAGAUUCUUUUAAGGAAUAAUGAUACUAUCUAACCCUAGUAAUUAAAAGAUAUUGAAGAAAACUGAUCCUAAGGGAGGGUAAUGCUUCCUAGGUCCACAGUAAUCUUAUUGAAUGCAUGGUAACCAGUGCCACAGUCAUCUUCUUUGUACCUCUACAUUGCCCUUGUUUGCAGAAAAUGACAUCUCCCAUAACUCCAUUACUUAUUUUCAUCAAAGCUUCUUCCUGCAUUACAAAAAACCCACAACAGUAGGCUUAAGACUUUAAUAUUGUGGAAAGGAAAUUAUCUUGAACUGAUGCAUGGAAAAAAGAAAAUGGAUACUAACAUGCAAUUUAACAUCAUGUCCUGAUGAUUUAAAACUUCCCUCCAAUCGAAUCCCUUCAAGAGAAAAAAGAAACAUGUCAGAAAUUUAAUGGUAUGUAAUAGCAACACAGAAACAGGAGACUCUGUUGUGUAAUUACUGAGAAAAACACUGUUGGAAAUUUACCUUCAACACUAUAAAGGAAAAUGAACAACACCAGAAAACAGACUGCUUCUAAACAGGAAGGCCUCAUUUGCAGGGAGCUUUUUUUUUGUAGAAUUGCAGAGAAAUUGUUAACAAAUAUGAAAGAAAGAAAAUUAUGAUUCAGUUUAUGGGUUUUCCCCCCCUUUGUAUUAAGAACAAGGAAUUUUGAAUGCAAAUUAUGCAAGUUUUCCUGAUGAAUUUCUAUUGCAUUGGAACUGCCUGCCUUUAUAUAUACUACAACAUUGCCGUUUAGGACCCACAUAAAAAAUAAUGAUAUUUUUUCUUUUCCAUUUCCUUUGCUUUUGUGUUGAAAAUUACUGACUUUUACCCUUUAUUUGUCUCCAACAUAGAAUUAAUUAUAGAAAAUGACAGAUUAUUUUGGGUACCCCCAAUACCACAUUGUUCAAUUAUGGAUAUUGUGUGUGUGGGUCUUGUUUGGAGUGGACUUUAACCAUGGGACUCCUAUAAGCCUUUAAGGGGACAGAUGUUGUAUUUUUAUGUGUCAAAAUGACACCCAAGACAGACCAUAAAUUUUAGGAGAACCAAGGAGGUGCGCCACUGUUGAGUGUUUAGUGAUUUUAAUAUAAUAUAACUAGUAAUUUGUUGUAUGUAUUAAAUUAUAUUAAAUUAUUUUUUAAAUUUCUUUUAUAAACUUUAUAACGUUUCUAUGAUUAUAAAAAUAAAAUAUAAUAAAAUAUAAGUUUAAUUUUAAAAAUAUGAUAAUUAAUAUUAUAUUGAAUCUAAAUAAAUAAUAUUUUGAAAUUACUUUUAAAAUAUAAAUAUCAUAAUAAUGGGUUGUGUGGAAUUUUGUUUUAUUAUAUACUAACUUAAUUUAUAAUUAUUUAUUAUUGAAUAUAGAUUGUAAAUUAAAUUUAUAUAUUGUGACCGCUAAAUAAUUUAUUGUAAUAUUAUAUAUAUUAAUUUUAAUAGUAUAUUUAAUUUGUAAAAAUAGUGAUAAACUUUUUUUUAAAAUAAAGUCCGUUUAAUAUUUGGGCUUAAAAGACCAAAUUAGAGAAGUUUACAACAACCCCAAAGGAAAAAACGAAAGGAAAAAUCAAAUAACAAGAAAACAAAAAAUAGAAAACCAAAAAAGCAACAGGCCCCAAAAUAAGAAAUUGUCUUCUCAUUUCUACAUUCUUCCAAGCUCUUUGUAAAUCUGAACUCCCCAAAGAAUAAACGGCUAGAGUCAACCAGAAGAGGAAGCAAGUUGAGACAGACAAUCAGAUUACCAAGUUUCUCAACCUAAUUAACUUCACAGAGAAGGAAUUAUGGUGGUCGACUGAAUCGUCGAUCAGAAUCAGCCACUUCCAAGACUUUUAAUGGCGCGUUUUCAACCCAGAACGAAUCUUCAUUAGUUCUCAAACCUUCAAUAGCCAUUGCAUGCGCUGCCCCAUUUCCUUUUCACACAACGAAUUGAAAUCGACAAGAAGAAAAAUUCCUCGCCAAAUUUUUCGCAUCCCAGGUGAAUGGUCUGGAUUUCGAGUAAUCUUCGCUUGUUUGUUGCAUGUUUUGAAUAACCAACUUUGAAUCACUCUUAAGAAUGACGUUUGUGAAUCCCAAAUCCAAUGCAAAUUGGAGCCCAUGCAAUACUGCAGUCGCUUCAGCAAUCACCACCGAUCAAACUAGGUUAUGCCUUUAAACCCCGAACCCAUUAUAAAGCCUUCAUCAUUUUUUAUGAUGAAACUUGAAACUGCAUGUCUUUUUGCAACAAACAGUCUCGCAUCGACAUUAAUUUUCACCCACCCUUACGGAGGGGGCAUCCAUUUUACCAUGGAUCGCGGUUUAGGAUGUUUCAAAGUCAAUGUGCUACCCCGAUAUUCCAUACCAAAACCCCUAGUGAAGGUAACAACUUCUUCUAUACUUUUCUUCUUUUUCUCAUGGACAUAAUUGUUUCGAGAAAACCAAAAUGCCCAAAUUGUAAUAGCAAUCUAAUCUUUUCUGUUUCUGGCUGAAUUCUCCAAAAUCCAGUUCAACCACUAAUUAAAAUUUAAAUUUGCCAUUGAAAUCGGCCACUGAAAAUUUAAUUUAGACCAAACUUGUGUAGCAAACAAACAAUCACGAACAACAUGGGUAGAGGAUUCACAAAGCUAUCAGCAACGCGAACAUUUGUUAUCAGUGAUCAAUCUCCUAAAAUGUAAGUUCGGAUAAGUAGGCACAUAAUUUUUUGCAAAUUUCAGAUUAAGAUGCGAAUUUUUAAAGGACACAUUAAGCUCCAUAUUUGCUUGAAUAACUUUUGCUCAUUUAAAUUCACAUUUGGGGGAUCCAAUAACAUCUUAUAUCCGCUUUUCACAUAAUAGAUGCCUGAGUUUUCGCUAGACCAAACUACUUUAUCAGAUUGAUUAGUAAUAGGAAUAGGAAGACUCACAAUUUGAUAAGCUUCUUCCACUGUAAAGGUUGAUUAAAUGAGGUCUCUAUUCCAUCGCUUAGGAUUCUGCAAAAUUAAAUGCAAUUUGAUAAUCUUCUUCCACUGUAAAGGUUGAAUAAAUGAGGUCUAUAUUCCAUCACUUAGGAUUUUACAAAAUCAAAUCAGACACAAAUUCCGUUCCAGCCACCCUGCCUAUAGAAAUAAGUCGUUGAUAUUUCCCUGGCAACCAAUAAUCUUGCCAUAUUGACACAAAUGUUCUAGAUCCAAUCCUCCAUUUCAAACUAGAGCCUAAGAGUCCUUUUACACACCAGAUACUUUUCCAUACAAGCGAUGGAUUCGCUCCUAGAGAAGCCUCCAUGAAAUUUGAUCCAUUAAAAUAUUUUACUCUAAGUAAACGCACUGUUAGCGAUCCUGGGUUUUCCAUUAGGCUUCAACCCUGCUUCGCUAGUAGUGCAAUAUUGAACUUGGACAAGUCUCGAAACCCCAUCCCUCUCCUCUUUUGGUAAAGACAACUCUUUCCACGAACACCAAUGAAGACCUUUUCUUCUAGCUUUCUUUUGCCACCAGAAACGGGCUAUGACAACUUUCAGUUCUUUACAAACAGACGACGGUAGCAAGAAACAAUUCAUAGAAUAAAAAUGAAUAGCCUGAAGCACAACUCUAAUAAGAACUUCACUCCCACCCAUAGAAAGUAAUCUUGAGCUCCAACUAGAUACCCUCUUGAUUAACCUCUCUUUAAGCUCCUUAAAAGCCCUCUUCUUAUUAUGCCCCACCAUUGCUGAAAGACCGAGAUAUUUUUUUAGAUUAAUGCAGUUAACCCCCGAAAUUCUACACACCUCCUCUCUUUUAUUCUGAUUGAUAUUUGAGCUGAAGAAGACCCCAGACUUGUCGAAAUUAAUUUCUUGACCCGAACUCUGGGCAUAAACCUCUAAAUUUUCUUUAAGUGCUUUAACCCCAUCAACUGUUGCAUCUCUAAAAAUAAGGCUAUAAUCAGCGAAAAAUAAGUGGGUAACCCGAAGAAUGUGCCUGUUUAUACAAAAAACCAUUAAGAAUACCUUUAACAGUCUGAUUUUUAGUGAUGUCAAAAACAGUGGUUUGAGCCACCAAAUCCGGUGAGUAAGCUCGUAAAUUUUAUUAUUUAAUAUUUAUGAGUCAAUUAUGGUUUUAAAAAAAAUUGAAUUAGUAAUUUAUGUCUUAUAAUGAAUUAUUAGAUUCGAGUGAUAAAAUCCUAGUUCAAGUGGUUUUAAAAAAUGAGGUAUCGGGACCUCGUUUCUAUAAACUGAGCCGUAAAUAUUUUUAUAAAUAUUUACGGAGUGUCAUUAAGGUAGUAUUAAAUUUCAUUGAAAAAUUUUAACGUUUCGACAGUUAAUUAAUUAAAAAGGACUAAACUGAAAAAGGUGCAAAACUUGCUAAUUAUAAUAAUAAAGUGACUAAAUGACUUGAUUAAUAAAUAAAGAAUGACCUAAAUAGCAAUUAUGCCUAAAUAAAAAGAUAAGGCCUAAAUAGCAAUUAUGCCUAAAUAAAAAGAUGAGGCAACAUAAAAUGGAAAAAACUAAAAUAAAGCCAUUAAUGGCAAAAUUGUAAUUAUAUUAAAAUUAAAAUAAAAUAAAAGUGAAAUUAGAAAGUUUCUAGGCAAUUCUUUAUUCUUCUCCCAAUUUUCGGUUCGGUUCAAAAACAGACAUAGGAGAGCUCCUUGAGCUGGUUCUUCAAUUUUGCUUCAUGUAAGUUCAAUUCUUACUCGUUUCUUGCAAUUUUUAUAUUUUUGAGAUUGUUACAAUUAGGUCCAACUAAAUCUUACUCUAGUUUUUGAUUUUGUUAAAGAUUAUGAAUGUUGCCAUUGAUGAAUCUAUAUGAUUUUAGUUAUUAAAUGAUGAAUUUGAGAUGUUGAUUGGUAUUUAAAAGUAUUUUGGAUGAUAUAUGUAUAUAAAGAAACAGUAAGAGAAUGAUAUGUGUCAUGAUAUGUAUAUAUAUAUCAAUAUCUUGAUAUGUUAAGACAUGGAACUAUGUAAGUUAUGAUGAGUAAUAAACUCAAGUGUGAUAUGUUGAUAAAAUAAGUUUAUCAAUGUUGAAUUUAUAUGAAAUAUGUUCAAGUAUGCUAACAAGUAUUGUUGUUGACGCUUAGACAAGUGCCAAGUUACCGGUUAAAUGGUAAUCUGUUUAUCAUAUGAUGCGUUGAAAGGGUAAGUGCUCAAAUGAAAAUAUACUUGUGCUCAUGAAAAAGCAGUAAGUUUUUAGUUAUGCAUUUUUUUAUAAAAUGAGUUAUCGUGUGAUUAAUUCGAAAAUGGUCUAUGUUUAAAUGCACUAGCUUGUAUCUAUGGUUGAAUGAUAUGCUUAUGACUAGUGUGUUAUGCAUAUGGAAUGAGUGUGGAAAGUAAAGAAACGCAAAUGAAAAUAAAGAAAUUUUGAAAGAGUUAAAGUUAUUUAAAAUCCUACUAUGCUAGGAAUAUUAUGUCUAAGUGAUACUGUAGAUUUAUUCACUUAGUGAGUUGUUAAAUAUAACUUCAUGAGUAUUGUGGUAGCAACAUUAGAUUAUUCUUGAUAAGUAUAAAUUUCAUAUUUGAAAAAGAAGCAUUAUGAUUAAAUUUUAUACGAGCUUACUAAGUAUUCAUUGUUUAUGUAUUUGUUUUCUUCUACUUUUCAGGUUAUCGGAAGCUCGAUUGGGUUGGAAGCUUGUCGGAGAUAUAUCACACUAUCCAUUGGUUCUAUCAGUAUUUUUGAAUGUUUUGAUUUUGGUUAUAAUGGCAUGUAUAAGUAUUUUGUUUAAUAAUGGCUUAUAUGUAGUGUGUUGAGUUUAGCCACUUAUUUUGGCUUGUUUUGAAUGACUAAUUAUGGCUUGUUGAUAUAAGUAAUGUUGAUUUUAGAUAGACACAAAAUUGGGUGAGAAAUAUGGCUUGUAAAAUGGCCUAUUUUCGUUCACACGGGCAGAGACACGGGCAUAUGUCCCCUACUUCUAAGAAAAUUUUUAAAAUUUUGAGAAAAAUUCCCUGAAUACUCGGUUUAGUCCCGAUUCACUUCAAAGGUGAAUAUUGGGCCUCGAAGGUCCAUCUAAGGGACAAUAUGAGUGUUAUAUAAUUGAUUCUUAAUAUGUGAAACAAAAGUAAAAAAAUGUCCGUAUUUAAUUUGUAAAGUUCGGUAAUGCUCUGUAACCCUGUUCCGGUAACGAAUGAAGGUUAGGGGUGUUACAACACCCCUUGUAGCCACCAUUCGAAGAAGAGCAGACAAACCUUAUCCACAAAUAAGAAAUAAUUAGAGGCUAAUAGGGUCCCCUUGAAGAAAACCCCUUGACGGGAGAAAUGAAUUACCCACCUCCCCAUUCAUAACCACAGAGUAAGAGACCGAUGUCAUACAACGUAUGACUUUCUCAACCCACUGAUCUGAGAAACCCAUCAUUUGAAGCAUAACUUACAUAAAAAACAAUUCAACCCGGUCAUAUGCCUUACUCAUGUCAAGUUUUAAGGCAAAUGAUCCCUCUUUCCCUACCCGUUUUCUCUUCAUUGAGUGCAAAUUUCAUAUACUGCUAUGAUGUUAUCGGUAAUAAGUCUUCCCAGAAUAAAAGUGUUUUGUGCUUCGUCAAUACAAAUAUGAAGGACCUUUUGAAGCCUAUUCGCAAGCAUCUUUGAAAUAAUUUUAUAUAAAAUAUUACAAAGACUAAUAGGCCUAAAAUGAGUCAUGAAACGAGGCGAACUAACCUUUGGGAUCAAGACAAUUCUUGUACUGUUUAUUUCAGCCAUGUUAUGAAGUCGAUGCAACGUCUCAAUGCAAAAAAUCUACCACCUCUUUACCCACAAUAUGCCAAAACCUUUGAUAAAAAAUUGCUCCUAAACCGUCCUCCCUAGAAGCUUUUAAAGGGCUCAUAGCUUUUAAAGCCAAACACAACUCUUCAUAAGUAAAAUCCCUCUUAAGAUCCACGCUCAUCAAUUGAGAUAUACAUGGCUCGACACCUUCCAAAAUAGAAUUUGGAUUUCCAACACCUUUCGAUGUAAAUAAGUUAUUAAAAUAAUCUGUGGCCAACACUAAUAAAUCACAAUUGCUCUUAUGAAUAUUACUCGCACCAUCCACCAUCUCCUCCACCCUAUUGUUUCAUCGACGAUCUGCUGCCGAUUGAUGAAAAAAAAUUUGUUUCUAUGUUAAACGCUAGUUUAGUCUCCACAAUUUCUCCCAAUACUUCAUCCGUGGGAAUAGCUUCAUUCAAUUUAAGCAACUGUUGUUCCAAAUCUUUCCUCAUUAGAGACUUUUGAUUUUUAAUUUUCUGGAACCAUUUCUCAAUGCCCACUCCUACCGCCUUUAUUUUACUUGGAACAUCACCCAAACUAUUAGCCUAAAUCCUACUAACAUCUAUUUCAUAUGAUUCCUCCAAAAGUCACGUUGCUUCAAAUCUAAAAUGCCACUGCUUUAGACGUUGAUUUCCAAAAUUUGAAUUAAGCAACAAAGGACAAUGGUCUGAAAACACAUGUGACAAAUAAGAUAACUUAAAAUUUAGAAAUAAAUCCAACCAAGUCAACUUCGCAAUACCUCUAUCUAGGCAUUUCCGAAUAUUAUUAAUUCUUGUAUGACCUUUUUCCCAAGUGAACCACUGCCCACUAUAACCAAGAUCAGUGAGAGAACAAUCUUCCAUAACAUUUCGAAAUCUACACAUUUGCAUUUCCCUCAUUGGAAGCUCGCCUUUCUUUUCAGUUGAAAAAGCAAUUUCAUUGAAAUCCCAUAUAACAACCCAAGAAAUAUAUGGGGAGUCAUUCAAUGUUCGUAAUAGAUUCCAAGAUGCUUCACGCAUAGUCUCUUCUGGCGCUCCGUAAAACCUUGUACAUCUACAAGUUUUCCCCUCCAAGUCCUCAUCAAUUAUAACAUCGAUGUGCCUUCGUGAAAAAGAUUAAAGAGUAAUCUUACAAUUACUAUUCCAACCUAAAGAUAAACCCCCACUUCUUCCAUCUGAAUCAACAUCUAUUCCAUUAAGAAAACCACACUUACACCUGACCUUUUCCAUAUUACAACUUUGAAGCUUUGUUUCAAUUAAAAACACCACUAGGGAAUUUGUGUCUCUCAGCAUAUGCCAGAAACGAUUUACAGUUCGAGGCCUUCCUAAACCCCGAACAUUCCAAGUUAGGAAUUUCAUUGCUCCCGGCUAGCCUGUUUAGCAAGGCCUACCGAUCUUUUUGUGUUUUUGUACCUGCAAUGAAGUAUCAAAAGUUUCAUUCGAAUCAUCAUUUUCAGAAACUCGUAAAACAUUAAAUUGCAAGCGAGGUCGUUUAAGUCCAUCACUAUGCGUUAUUGGACUACUCGCUUCCUCAUGGGCUACCAUUUUCUCGUCAAACCCAUCUUAAUGUUGAUCUAUUUCCCUAAGUUUUAAUGGGCCUAGAGCAAAAGUAGACUUUCCUUUAUCUUUUACAAAAAUAGAAUCUUUUGGGAUAGAGCCCCAAUUCUCGCCUUUAUUCACUAAAUUUGAUUUCAGAAUCCCCACAUUCCUUUUUUUCCCCUGUUGACUCUGUGUUGUCAAAAAUAGAAGGUUUCCCCCCAUCGUCUUCCACUACCCACUUUGUCUUCCAUAACAGAUUCUUCCUUGGUUGAGCAUGCAGAGAAAUAUUCCAAUUAAAGACAUAUUCUGAGUGUGGCUGAAUAGCUUUAAUUGGGCAAAAACUUUCACCAUGUCUUAAUUUGCCACAUAGAAAGCAAAAUAGAGUCAUUUUUUCGUACUCAAAAUGAACAUAAACUGAUUCACCAUUUUUCAGCGCAAUCCUCUUCUUUCUGUUAAGAGGCUUUCUAACAUCCACCCUCACCCUAAUUCUUAUGAUGCAUUUAUACCCCAGUUGAGUUGCAGUAGUGUCAUACUCAAUAAAUUCCCUAAUAAAAUUUCCCAACUGAUGAGCAACAGUAUCUGCCAUAAAACCAAGAGGGAGGUCAUGUAUUAGUAGCGAAAAAUCCGCCCAAUGUAAUUGAACAGUUAAAGGAUCCUCUCCCGUAUUCAGUCGAUGUAGAAUUAGUAAAUAGGGAUUAAAAUCUCAUGGCCCAUUCUUCAUAACUCUCUCCACAUCCACUUCAUAAUAAAACUGAAAUAAAUAUCUCUCCCUUCCCAGAUCUGAGAUUGAAACACCCCCUAUUAGAUGCCCAACACUUGCCAAAGUCGGUCGCAUUGCUUGAAAAUGCACAACACUGGAAAUAAGAAAUACUCCCACUAAACAGUUCACAUACGAGAUUUAUUGAUUAGUCUCUUCCACCUUCAGUUGAAUGAUUUCUUCCUCUUCAUCAUCCAAUGAAAGACCUGCAAUUAAGUCCUCUAUUUUCUUCCUACAAAAAAGACAAACAGGUUACCCAAAAUGGAAAAUUAAAUAAAAUAGAAAAUAGAAAAUAGUCCAGAAGAAAAAGCGCGUCAAAAGACAAAGAAAAAGCGUGUCAAAAGAUAGAGAAUCUCUACAAUAUAAAAUAGUGAUAAACUUAAAAUUAUUUUUUCAAACUUUACUAUAUAAAAAGGCGAAGGAGUUUAUGUUAUAAGUUUCUCCACUAUAAAUGAUUACUUUCUAUCUUUGUCACAAAUCAAUUUUUUAUAACGUGAAUACAUUAACAACUUAAGAACCUUGUAAAUUGUAAUAUAUAUAAUAUAUUAAUAUUUUAUCCAGUGCAAUUUACGGGUUAAUUGUAUGCAUUAAUUAUAAUACAUAAAAAAAUAACUUUAAAAAUCCUCUGAUAAAGAGAAAUAGGAAGGAAUUUUAGAGAUUUAUGAGAAUAAAAAAAAUGAAAUAUAAUUAUUAGACAAUUGAUAGUGUACCACUUGAUUGAAAAAUUUGUGUCAUUACAUUUUAAGCUCUGGUGUCACCUCUUUAGGUAAAGUCAGCUUUUGACAAAAGCUAUAAAAGGAGGGGUGGACAUUCCAUUUUAAAUGAGUGAUCAAAUCAAAUUAUAUAUGUGUGAAAAUUGAUUAGCCAAUAAUUUAACUGUGAUUAUAUAAAGUAAAGGUCGUACGAAACAUCUUUUUGAAAAUAUAAAAGCGUGAGAAUAGAUUCUUUUUAUUUUUAAAAUGUAAUAAAUACAAUUCCAUACUUUUAUAUUACCGUUUGAUGCAAAAAUAUUUAUAUAUUUCUCAGAUUGGGACUUCUUCAUAUAUCUAAUCUAUAACUUUUCUUUACUCUCAUUUUCAUCCCAUCCCAUGAGUAUUUACAAUAGCCAGCAAAGAAUAAUAUAUAUUCAUGAUAAUAUUUUUUAAUUAAAUUGAUGUUUGAUUAAUUUAUAACAUCAAUUUAAAUUAUAGUAUAUAUAUAUAUAUAUAUGCACUGUAGUUUUAUCCCAGUAGUGGCUACCAUACUGAGAUUUUCAUUGAUAUGUAUUUUGGAUAACUUGCUAUUUUAUUGCUUUUAUAAAAUACAUAUUGUAUGUAUAUUGCACAUUUUGUGAUCAACAACUUGCCUAUAUAAAAUAUUGCAAAUCAAAGGGACGGUCUAAAAAAAGGUUUUGAAUAAUAUAAAAUUUAAUAUAUUUCACAUUUUAUGUUUUGUAUUUAAAUAUUGAUUUUAUUUUAUUUGAAAUAUAUUAAUAAUGAAAAUACAUAAAAUGAUUUUUUUAAAUCAUCUCAAUUAAAUAUUAAAAAAUAUCAAAUUUUGUUAACAAUUUAAAGCAGCAAAUGCUUAAAGUUUUAUGUUAGACAUCUCAAUCAAGUUCUAUCUUAAAUAGUUUGAUUGUUUAAAAAAAUCAUAUUUUAAGUCAAAAUCAAAAUUUAAUUAUUUUAUUAAAAUAAUUACUAAUAUAAAAUAGUAUCAAAGAAAUGCCAAUGUGAUUGAAAGAUUGAUAUCUAACAUUUAAAAUUUAAAUGUUUGUAUAAAAAGUCUUAAAUAUAAUAUAAAACAACAUAUAAUAAUUUUUACUUUUAUAAAUAAUUUAGGGUGGAUUUGGAUAGGCGGUGCGUUUACUUGCGAUUAGUGUAAAAAUAGCGGUGACGGUGAGAUUAGAUACUGUAGCAAUACUACAGCAUGAGCCAAAAAAUAAACUAAACGCACCACACCGCACCCAAUCGCUCAUUCAAACUCACCCUUAGUAAUAAAACAGUGAAUAGGACAAAUAGAUCUGCAGGAUUCAAUCUCGAAAAAAAAGUAGAGAUUGAAGAAGUACAAUAUAAUAAAAAAAAUCUAUCAAUAAUAAGAUUUAUUUACAGCUUUAUUAAAUUCAAAGUUGAUUGAUCUAACUUAAAUUUAUUUUCAACAAAAAUAAUAUAUUUAUUUUAAUUUUUUGAUUGAAUGAAGGGAAUUAAUUAGAUGUUGCAUCAGUUAGCAUGGGGAUUGGGAGGGAGACAAGGUGGGCCAAGUCCCACGUGUCACAAGAAACAAUGGGAUUUAAUGUGAGGGUGACAGAGACGGGUUAAAAUCACCCACCUUGACUUGAGUCACCAAACUGCCUUAUUUUGACAGGGAAGUUUUGUCUCUAGCAUCCCAACGGUGCGACCACUCCACGCGGAGCUCUGUAAUGGUGGGACCACAAUGGAUUACAUGGCAGGUGAUUUAGCCACGUAGGCAUACCCAGUUCACGUGGCAUGUUCUUACUUUGCCCAACACCAAAACAACUCCGAAACUAUUGCGUAUAACACCUGCCCGACUUUCAUCAGUUAAAAAUCAAACUUAGGCUGAGAGUGUUUUUCUAAAUACAUUUAGACUUGUCCAGUUUAUAUUUUUUUUUGUCAAAAUGAUAAUUCACAAUAAUUCAUAUUUAUUUUUUGGAUCAGAAUAAUUUAUGUUUAUUUAAAUUCUAAUAACAUGUUAUAUCUUUACUAAUGUUUCUUUUUUCUCCUUUGCCCAUGCUAUUAUUCUUUUGAUUCGACGUUUCUUGCUUGUAGAAUUCACAGCGUUCAUAGUAGUUAUGUUUCGUGUGAAGGCCAUUCAAUUAGAUAUUUUAAUAAAAUAAACACUUGCAUUUGGUCAAACUACUGUAUUUGUUCAAAAUUGUCAUAGUUAGUUGAAUCUUAUUAUUCUUUUUGAACCUUUCAAAUUUAAUUAAUUAUAUUGGAAUGUGUACAUUAGCUUAUAUUAAAUGGAGUUAAUUUCGGCUUCUUUUGUUUUGUUGGGCGUCACUAAAAGUAAUAUAGAAUAAUUUCAAAUUUUCAGUGGUCGUUCUGGGACAAUUGACAUGAAAAAAACCAGUAAAUUGAUUGAAAUAAUGGGGACUUGAACCAUAAUACAUAGAGUAGAAAUGAAAUGGAACGAAAGCAAAAGAGGAAGAGAAUUGAGCCGACAAAACGACAUCACAUGUUUCAGGGACUCGUUGGAACAUAUUGGACCGCAUAUACAUGUACAUAUUCAGAUGUUAUUGUUCCUUGUUCUUCCCAAUUUUUUUUUAUGAUACACUUCGUGGUCUCGUUUGCCACCGAACAAACAAUUAUACUUAAUCCUCCUCAACUAUUUUCAUAAUUAUUUCCUACAUCCACUAAUCCAACAUAAAUGCUUCCUUCCUAUCUUUUUACUCAACAAACAGUAUGUUUGCACUAAAAAUUUCUCUUGCCCGUAUCUUUUAACUGUAAAUUUCAUGUAAUUAUCUUAUAAGUUAUUACUUUUUAUUAUCUUCAUUCAAAUAUCCUCUCUCAGUUUUACUCCCCAUUAUUUUUGUAUAAUCAUUCUCUUAGUAAUUUCUUUUCAAAAUCUAAUAUUAUUACAACCAUGGCAACUUUCAUUGUUUCUACGUAUUUUUCACUUCCAUCACCAGUGGCGGAGCCAAGCCGCAGCCAGCUAUCCGCCCUUAAAAUAGAAAAUUUUUAUUUGAGCCCUUUAUAUUUUAUAAAAUUUUAAAUUAACAAUGGUAUAAUUACAUUUUGAUCUUCUAUUAUUGUAGCCCAAAAAUAUUUUCUAACUCCUCCACUGUCCAUCACUAUUACUUGUCAAUGCACUUAUUUUUCAAUGUCUGCUCUAAUCAUCUUCUCUAGCAUCUCUUGAGGGCACUAUAUUUUAUUGAUUUAUAACUUUGAAGAAAAAAACCGUCUGCGCUUAACCCAUUUAAUUUAAUUCAUCCGAUGAAGAAGCUCGCUCAUCGACAAACCAUAAUUGCAACUCAACCUCUUUUUCCUUUCGUCCAAAAAGACAACAAAAAUUCAACGAAUCCGUAGCUAUUUGAAGACAGUGUCUCGUCAUUCAAAAGCAUUGCAACAAAAGCAAUCUUUCUUCCAUGUUUUAAUUGAAUUUAUCAAUCUCUCAUGUCCCUAUAAUAUAUAUGUAUUGGUUUCUUGUUCCUCUCUACGCCUUCCCAUACCUAAUGUUUCCCCAUGCAUGAUCACAUGUUUUGUCCUACAUUAAUUCUCACAUGGGGCGGCGUCACCCCCCCUGCCUAGCUACCCCUUAUACGCGAGCCCAUCUUUCUUGACCUUGUUACUCAUACGGUGCGAGAGCUCCGAGGAAGGUUUGCCGAUCAAUACACCGACCACCGACACAAUCCAUUUGCUUUAUACAUGGCCUUUGUUGGAACACAAUGACUCUUCCUUUUCGGUUUUGUAAAGAGAAUUGAACUUCCAAAUUUUGUUUCAUUAGACUAUAAUAUAUGAACUAUCGAUUGAUUUAUAUAUUAUUUUAUGGGAAGAAUUGCGAUCGCAUGCAAAUUUACUUUAUUUUCGUAUAAUUUGGGAGAAGAUAAUUGCAUGGUUAUAUUCAGUUGAUGAUAUUUUUCCUGCUUUUUUUACAUUUCGUGUGUGAAAAAGGUUUGUUUGAAUCAUAUAAAAAAAGAAUGAAAGUGAUAUAAUUUCCAAGGAGCCGACCAUUUUCGACAAUAAUCCUCUACUGGGAUCGAUGUUGUCUAAACUUUUGUCCAAGUCAUAUUUUGUUGUUAUCCAUUUGAAAUGUAGUUUCAAAGCUUCAAUCGUAUUAAUGGAAAAAUAAAUUUCCAUUCAACUAGGCAAGUGGGCUAUUUAGGGUUUCAAUUAAGUUUUUUAAAAAGUGACGAGUAUAGUUAUAGGUAAGUGGGGUAUUUAGGUUUUCACUUGAUUUAUUUUUUAUUUAUAUAACUAAAGAUAACUACAUAGAAAUAAAAAAAAAUCAAAUAAUAAUUUAAAAUUAGGAUAAUGAUAAUAUUUAAAUUUUUUUGAAAGUUUCAGGUUUUGGAAUCUUGAUCUAUAUGCUCUUUUCUUUUACCCUUUUGCUCAAAUGUACAUAUUCUCGAAUCUUCAUAUAACUCCAACUGUUUAUCUUUUUCAUAUGAAACAACACCAGUUCUUACUCGCCAAAGCCUAUCAAUUGGUUUUCUUUAUUAUCAACCAAUCAUUGGCUUCUAUUUAUUAGUUCAAAGCGGUGAGGUUCGUGCCUUCUUAUAUUAGAUGUCAGUUGAGAGACCUUGCCUAAUACAUGUUAAACCAUAUUUUCCUCAGGUGGAAAAUCCACUUUUUUACCAUUAACUUUUUUGCCUUUUUUCGUCAUCGUCAAUCCAAGAUUAUUAAUUAUUAUCAUUGUUGUAAUUUUAAAUUGUAUUUGAAUUAUUAUUUUAUUUAAAUUUUUUAACAAUUUGAAUUUUUAUGUGCUCAACUUUGGGAAGGUAUAAUGCCUAGGUGUGAUAUUGGGGGAAAACCAUGUAAUUGGAGAACGGAAGUCAGCUGGUUGUCGAAGAAAACUACUAGGAAAAGCCUAAAGGCUAAGCUAGGAAGAUGCCUAACAAUGAUAUAGUAAAUUGGCAGAUAGUAAUAAGGGUUGAGAUUAAGGAAAAGCCUAAAUGCUAAGCUACGAAGAUGCCUGACAAUUAUUUUAUUUCAAAUUUCUAAUAGUAAUAAGGAUCGAGUUUUAGGAAGAAUAAAGCAAAGCGUUAUACCAAACCUGCUGUAUAGAUCAUAUAGUAUCCACUUACAGGAAUGUGGAGAUAGGAGUUUAGGUGGCCGCUUUUGACUGUUAUUUUUCUAUUUUUAGGUUAAAUUAUUUUUUGUGUUUGAAUUUUAUUGAGUUAGGUUCUUAAUUUCACAACUAUUCUCACAUUAGAGUUUGAAUUUAUUUUAUCCAAGUUAAGCUCUUAACUUGACAAUUGUUUUCACAUUGGAGUCUAAACUUUUUUUUUAAAUCAGUAUUUGAUAUUUUCUUGAAAACCUUUGUAACACUCUUAACCCUUAUCCAUGGCCAAAAUAGGGUUAUAGAGCAUUACCAAACUUUUCAGAUUUGAAUACAAACAUUUCAUAACAUUUAAUGUACAUAUUAGAAAUACAUUAUAAAUCACUCAUAUUGUCUUUUGUAUGAGCCCUCGAGGCCCAAAAUGCGCAUCAGAAAUAAAUCGGGACUAAAUCGAAAACUCAGAGAAUUUUUUCCAAAAUUUCAAAAUUUUUCUUAGGUGCAGGGACACACACCCAUGUGGCCAGGCUGUGUGAGCGACAUGCCCGUGUCUUAGGUCGUGUGGGCAUUCGAUGUGAGGCACACGGCCGUGUCCUAGCCCGUGUCCAUGCCCGUGUAACCCUCUGACUUGGGACACACAACCAAGUCACAUGCCUCACUAAAUGUAACACUCCUAACCCUUAACCGUCACCGAAACAGGGUUACGAAGCAUUACCAAACUUUUCAGACCAAUUACGAACAUUUCAUAUCAUUUAAUACACAUAUAAAAACCAAUCAUAAUUCACUCACAUUGUCCCUUAUAUGAGCAAUCGAGGCCCAAAAUAUUUAUUAGAAACAAGUCGGGACUAAACCGAAAACUCAGAGAAUUUUUCUCAAAAUUUCAAAAUUUUACCUAGGUGCAGGGGACACACGCUCGUGUCUUAGACCGUGUAACUCUUUGACUUAGAUCACACAGCCAAGUCACACGCCCGUGUGCUAGACCGUGUGCAAAAACCUGGGCAUUGUGUUUCAAAAUUUUAAUAUGCAAGAGACACAAGACUAGAACACACGCCCAUGUGCUAGGCCGUGUGUCACACACGGCUGAGACACACGCCCGUGUCUCUACCUAUGUGGACGAAAUUAGGUAAUUUUAAGGCCACUUUUCUCACCCUUUUUGUUAUCAACCUAUACACAACAUUUCAAUACAUCAAUACAUCCCAAACAAACAAUUAACCCAAGCCAAAAUCAUGUUUUAAGCUUAACAUAACAUCACAAAUACUCAAUUACUUAAAUUUACCUAUUUAAUCCAUCUCAUUGGUUAAAUUUACCUAUUUAACCCAAGCAUAACUUAAAUUACUUAAAUUCUUAUCGGCUCUUCAAAUUUCCAACCACAAAUUCUAUAUCUCUUCUUUUCAAAUCUGCAUACGAUUUCUAACGGUCAGAAGCAGCUUUCAAACUAUCCCGAGUAAUUCAAACUUUAUCUUCAAUCUCUCGUAUCAAGUCGACCCCUACUAGUUUGGAUUCACUCAAUUCAGACCAAUACAAUGGUGUCUUACAUUUCCUCCUGUAAAGAGCUUCAAAUGGUGCCAUUUUUAUACUGGAUUGAUAACUGUUGUUAUAUGAAAAUUCAGCCAACGAUAAAUACCUUUCCCAGCUGCCACCAAAGUCAAGUAUACAACAUCUCAACAUAUCUUCUAGAAUCUAAAUUACUUGUUAUGAUUGCCCGUCAGUCAGAGGAUGAAACGCUGUGUUGUAAUUUAGCUUUGUACCCAGAGCCUAUUACAAUUUACUCUAAAAUCUCGAUGUAAACCUCAGAUCUCGAUCUGAAAUAAUGGAUAUUGGAACCCCAUAUAACGUCACAAUCUCUGCUAUAUACAAUUCUUCUAGCUUCUCAACUAAAAAAUCUGUUCUAACUAAGAUAAAAUGUGCCGACUUAGUCAAUUUAUCAACAAUCACCCAAAUCGAAUUUUUCUUUUUCGAAGUCACAGGUAAUCCGGAUACAAAAUCUAUUAGUAACAGACUAACUAAAUUAGCACAUUUCAUUCAAAUCAGAAUAGACUUUUCGCUAGAGAAAUUAGCAGAAUUAUAUAUGUCUGAAAUUGUGAUGUUACAUAGGGUUCCAACAUUCAUUAUUUCAAAUCGAGAUCCGAGUUUACAUCGAGAUUUUAGAGUAAAUGGCAAGAGGCUCUAGGUAAAAAGCUAAAUUUCAGCACAACAUUUCAUCCUUAGACUAACAGGCAGUCAGAACGAGUGAUUCAGAUUUUGGAAGAUUUGUUGAGAUGUUAUAUACUCGAGUUUGGAGGUAGUUGGGAAAAGUAUUUACUGUUGGCUGAAUUUGCAUAUAACAACAGUUAUCAAUCCAGUAUAAAUAUGGCACCAUUUGAAGCUCUUUAUGGAAGGAAAUGUAAGACACCAUUGUAUUGGUCUGAACUGAACAAAUCGAAACUAGUACAAGUUGAUUUGAUCCGAGAGACUGAGGAUAAAGUUCGGACUAUUCGGGAUAGUUUGAAAGCUGCUUCUGAUCGUCAGAAAUCAUAUACUAAUUUGAAAAAAAGAGAAACUGAGUCCAAGAUUUAUUGGACCAUAUGAAAUUAUUGAAAGAAUCGGCCCCGUAGCUUACAAAUUAGCUUUGCCUCCUAAACUUGAGAAAAUUCAUAAUGUGUUCCAUGUAUCUAUGUUGAGACGGUAUAGAUUUAAUCCUUCACACUUGAUUCCACAAAGUUAGAUUGAGCUACAGCCAAAUAUGAUGUAUUCGGAAGAACCGGUGAGAAUUUUAGCUCGAGAGGUUAAAGAAUUGAGAAAUAAACGAGUAUCGUUAGUAAAAGUAUUGUGGCACCGUCAUGGUUCGGAGGAGGCUACCUAGGAAAUAGAAAAAUCAAUGAAAUAACAAUAUCCAAACCUAUUUUCAGGUAACAAAUUUCAAGGAUGAAAUUUUCUAAAGGGGGGAGAGUUGUAAUAACCUGAUUUUCAGUGGUAACGGAAACGGUGAAUCGAGGUCACCAAUUUCGAUGAGUAAGCUCAUAAAUUUUAUUAUUUAGUAUUUACGAGUCAAAUGUGGGUUUAGGAAGAUUUUUUUUGAAUUAGUGAUUUGUGUUUUAUAAGGAUUUAUUAGGUUAAAUAGUUUAGAAAACGAGGUAUCGAGACCUCGGUUCUAUAAAAUGAGCUGUAAAAAUUUUUAUAAAUAUUUACGGUGUGUCAUUAAAGUUUAAUUAAAGUUCCGUUAGAAAAUUUUAACGUUCUAAUAGCUAAUUAAUUAAAAAGGACUAAAUUGAAAAAGGUGCAAAACUUGCUAAAGUGAUUAAAUAGCAUAAAUGGUAAAUAAAAGAGGACUAAAAGGAAAAAUAUGCCAAGUGGAAUAGCUGAGGCGGCAUAAGUGCGAAAAAAAUCAUGUUAUUCAAGGGCAAAAUGGGAAAUAAUUGAAAUUUAAUUAUCAAAUUGAAAAACCUAAAAGUUUCUAGACAUUUUCUUCAUCAAUUUUCUGUCCAAAAACACCAUUGAAGAGCUCCCAAAACUUUUUUCCAUAUUUUAGAUUCUUGUGAGUUUAAUUCUUGCCUUUUUAUUAUAAUUUUUGUGUUUUUAAGACUUUUACAAUUAGGUCCAACUAGCUAUUUUAUUAGUUUUUGAUUUAUUGAGAAUUUUAAAAGUUACCAUUGAUUAAUACUGGAUAUUUUUUAUGAAAUAACAUGGAUUUGGAGCUUUAAUUUUGUUGUAUGAUGAUUUUAAUAAGUGAUUUUGUUUGAUAUUGAUUUUAGGACUAAAUUGUGAAGAAUUAAAGAAUUAGGGUUUGGAAUUAAAUUUCUAUGUAUCAAGGGCUGUAAGGUAGCCUAGAAUAUUUAUAUAAAUUAUCAAUUGAGAAAAAUUAGUUCAUUUGAUAGACUAAUUAGUAAGGGGACUAAAUUGCAAAAGUUAUAAAAUUUGGGGUAAUUGUGUAAUUUUAAAAAUUGAGGGUAUUAAUUCUGAAGUGAACUGGAACUGAUAUAUAUGCUAAUUAAUGAGUAAUUUUAUAUUUUAGAUCAAGAGUCCGUAGAUACUCGUGAAAAAGAGAAAUUAGUAGAAUAGUCCCUAAACUUCUACAAAUUUUACAAUUUAACCCAGGUAAGUUCGUAUGGUUAAAUUUUAUUAAUUAUAUUGAUUUGUUGAAUGAUAUUAUGUAUUUUAGUAUAUUGUUGAAAAAUGGAAUAUUGUUAAAUUAUAAAUUUGAAGUGAAUAUCCAGUUUAAAUAAAAUGCGAGAUUGAGUACAAUCGUUGUGUGGCGAAAGAUAGCAAAGGAAGAAUUGACAAAAAAUUACCCAAGUAAAUCGAGUUCAAAAUUUGUUGCGAACUUUCGUGCUUACUUUUCGUUUAGCUCUCUCGAGCUUUUGCUUAACUCAUAUGAGUUUCCGUUCAACCCUAAUGGGUUUCCAUUAAGCUAUUUUGAGCUUCUGUUUAACCCUUUUGAGAUUUUGUUCAGCUCUUAUGAGUUUCCGUUCAACCCUUAUGGGUUUCUCUUUAGCACUUAUGUGCUUCUAUUCAGCUUUCAGGCUUCUGAAAACGAUGUACUCAUAUCCGUAAGCCAUUCUUCGAUUUGGUAAGACUUGAUAAGUGACUUAUGUAAUUGAAAUUGAAAGAUUUAUUGUUUAUUAUUGAUAUUGAUUUGAAAUAAGUGAGUUCAUCAAUUAAGUUUCUGAUUGACAGAAAGAUUGCAUGAGUAAAUUUGAAAAUUUGAUUUGUUAUAUUCGGUUCAGUAAGAUUUAUGUUUAACCUAUUGAACUUACUAAGCUUUAUUAAGCUUAAUUGUGUUGUUUAAUGUUCUUGUAGAUAAACGUGAGGUCGGGAGAUCGAAUCAACACAUCAAGUCACACUAUCCAGCUCAUCCUGGUAGUCUUUAAAACGUAUUCUAUGGUUUUUAUGGCAUGUAUAGGGUUGGAAUAGUUUUAAGUAAAGUUAGUUUGUGGAAAUGUUUAAAAAUCACAUAUUGUUAUAUAUUUCCCACCAACUUAUAUAUGUAUGAUUUAAUCAUGCUUGAUAUAUGUUUAGAGUGGUUAAAUGAUGGACAGCUUAUAGGCAUAUAGGUGAAUGUGUAAUAUAUUUUAAUUGGUAUAAUAAAUCAAAUACGUGGUUUGAUCAAUAUGGUAAAUUAAAAAUGCUAGGAUGUCGAUGGUAAUAACAUAUGUUUAAAGCUUGAUUUAGUUACACUGAGGGGUUUGUUAUGGCUUAUGAGAGUGUAAUUUGAAGUGUUUAGGUUGGAAUUUAAAAAUGGGUGAGAAAAGUGGCCUUGAAAUGGCCAAUUUUCGUCCACACAGGCAGAGACACGGGCAUGUGUCUCAGUUGUGUAUGACACAUGGCCAAGCACAUGGGCAUGUGGCCUGGCCGUGUGUCCCUUGCAUCCUUAAAAUUUAGAAACAGAAUGCUCAGGUUUUUGCACACGGCCUAGCACACAGGCGUGUGGGUUGGCCGUGUGUGUAACACCCCCUACCCGUUUCUGUCACCGGAAUAGGAUACGAGGCAUUACCAGAUUUUACUAAUUUUUUUAACCCCUUUAUAAAUAUCAAAUCUUCCCUGCAAAUUUUAAACCGAGACCAAUCUGACACAACCAAUCCAUUUCAAUAUAUUUUCAAGAUAGAUUUAUAAUAUUCAUAAGAUAAUCUCAUCACAUACCAAAACCAAAGUUUGUUAGCCAUACCAAUAGCUAACCAUACAUUCAUUUCACAUUAACAUCUACUUUACUAGCUUAUACAUGCCAUUGAUUUUCAAAAUAAAGUUUCUUUAUAUACUGAGAUCUUGAGGUUGAUAGUGUGAUGCGUCUCCGACCAAAUCCGACCUCCGAGCUCUUAAUUCUACAAACAGGGGAAAAAGAAACAGGGUAAGCACUUUGUGCUUAGUAAGCUCAUGUAACAAGAAUUAUACUUACCUAAUAUUUUCCAUACAAUGUAAUAACAUUCAUACACCCAUUCCAUACAUUAUUCCCCUAUCAUGCACAAACUCAACAUUCAAAUUAGUCCAAUAAUUUCCAUGUAUCAAUAAUUUAUACCAUGAUUGAUGAGCUCAUCAAUUCCAUGAUUUCCAUUUCCUUGUUAUUUUUCCAUAUUUAUCCCGUUGAACUACUUGGAAUUUCGAUGGAUUUUCAGGGGUACACCUAAGUGUACAAAUUCCGGGUCCGUCAAUUCAUAUUCAUGUGCGCACAUUUCCAUUUCAGAGAGCACACUCCCGCGAACCUCAUCCUUACAGCGGGAUUACCAGUCCAGGCUAAAUCCCCUGUAAUAUAAACUCAUAGAGUAUUGUCGGGAUUACCAGUCCAGGCUAAAUCCCCUGCAACGACAAUUACUCUAAUGAGCUUGGAUCUGAUUACCAGUCCAGGCUAAAUUCAGACCCUAAUUCGGAUUACCCGUCCGGGCUAAAUCCAUUUUCCACAUAUUCUUCGAGAGGGCUAUAUCAGGAUAGGAUCACCCGUCCGGGCUAGAUCCUUUUUACCGUCAAUUCCUUUUCAGAGAUCCAUCGAAUUUUCCUUCCAUUCAACCGGGAUUUAUUUUCUCUUUUCAUCAAGAAUAUCAAUACUUCAUCAAUUAUCAUACAAUAAACAUCCAACUCAUUUUCACAUCAAUAACAAACAUUUCAAGCAUUUAAGAAUAUAAUUCAAGUAACACGAACUUACCUCGAUACUUGUUCGUAACUAAAAAUCUACUAAUCCCAAACUUUUUCUUUCCUUCGAUCUUGCUUCGUAUUUGAAUUUUCCGGAUCUAAAUAAAUAAAUUUAAUUAUUAAUCUAAUACUUUUCAUGUUCAUAUGUAACAUUCUCUAUAAUUCUAUUAUUAUUUAUAAUGCAUUCAAAGCUGUCUCACUGAGUCACAGUCACUAAAUUAUUUAUAUCUUGAGCUACAAAACUCCAAAUUAAGAUCCGCUAAUUUUUCCUGAAACUAACUCACAUAUCUUCUUAUCAUAAAAUUUUCAGAAUUUUUGGUUUAGCCAAUAAGUACAGUUUAUUCUUUAAAGUUUCCCCUGUUUCACUGUUUGACAGUUCCGACCUCUCUUCAUUAAAAAUUAAUUAUCUCAUUGUACAGAAUUUGGAUGAUAUUUCCAUUUCUUUCUUCUGAAAAUAGACUCAUUAAGGAUUCUAACCAUAUAAAUUAUAACUCAUAAUCAUUUUUUUACAAUUUUUAAUGAUUUUCCAAAACUCAGAACAGGGGAACCCGAAUUCAUUCUGACCUUGUCUCACAAAAUCUAUUAUAUCUCAUGAUUUACACUUCCAUUGAUUAAACCGUUUCUUCUAUAAGAAAUUAGACUCAAUAAGCUUUAAUUACAUAUUUUUUCAUCCUCUAAUACGAUUUCUAAAAUUUAUGGUGAUUUUUCAAAGUUGGAUACUGCUGCUGUACAAAACUGUUUUAGUGUAUGAUGUUAAUUACCAUUUUUCCCUAAACUUUUAAUAAAUGAUAAUUUCAUCCCUGCUCAAUUAACCUCUCAAUUGAGCUGAUUUUUCUCCAUUAACACUUUAUUAUAUCACUUUAAACUACCUUAUAACCUUUGGAAAUCAAAAUUUUAGCAUUAGACUUUAAUUCCAAACUUUUUCACAAUUAGGUCCUACAAAUCAAUUUCUAUUGAAAUCACCUAGUAAAAUCAUCUCAUAAACAAAUUAAAGCUUCACUUUCAUCCUAUUUCAUCAUAAAAUUCCAGCACAUAUUCAUAGCAACUUUCCAUUUCAUUCAUAAAAUCAAAAGCUAAUGAAUUUAGUAAUAGGACCUAGUUGUAAAAGUCUUAGAAACACAAAAAUUACAAGAAAAAGGCAAGAAUUAACUCACUUGGGGAAAAAAUUAUGAAAAUCCAGCUUGAAGAAACCCUUAGGACAUUUUUGGCUGAUGAGAAUGCAGAAAAUAUGAAGAGAAUUCUAGAUAUUCCACUUUAGUCCUAACUUUUAAAGCAAAUGUUUGCAAUAUUCCAAUUUUACCCUUAAUUCUUCAAUUCUCCUGAUUUUUCUCAGCGUAUGCCGCCCAAAACAUCUCCUUUUGGGGUUAUUUUCAAUUUAUGUCCCUCUUCAUUUAACAAUUGAGCUAUUUAAUCUUUCUAGUAACUUUUACACCUUUUUCAAUUUAGUCCUUUUUACUUAAUUGACUACCCAAGCAUUAAAAUUUUCUAACGAAAUUUUAAUACCAUAUUACUAACACUUCAUAAAUAUUUAUAAAAAUAUUUUUGACUCGGUUUUACGAGAUCGAAGUCUCGAUACCUUGUUUUUACUCAAUUUCUUCUAUAAUUUCUUUUUCUAACUAACGACUAAAUCGAUAAAAUUUUUCUAUCGAUAUUUUCAUACGAUUUUCCUAUCAUACCAAUAUUCAUGCAAAAAUAUUAAAAUAAAUUUAUCUUUAAAUCAGAUUUGUGGUUACAAAACCAAUAUUCCGAUAACCUUGAAUUUGGGCCAUUAUAGUGUGACCCCUGCACCUUAAUUUCAUAACACACGGCCUGACCACACAGGCGUGUGUCCCCUGCAUCUAAGAAAAAUUUUGAACUUUUGGGAAAAUUUUUGAAAUUUUGAGAAAAAUUCUCUAAGUUUCCAGUUUAGUCCUAAUUUAUUUCUGAUGCGUAUUUUGGGCCUCGAGGGAUCAUACAAAGGACAAUAUUAGUGAUUAAUGAUUGGUUUCUGAUAAUAUAUAUGAAAUGUUAUGAAAUGCUUGUAUUCAAAUCUGAAAAUUUUGGUAAUGCUCUGUAACCCUGUUCCGACGACAGAUAAGGGUUAGGAGUGUUACAACCUUAAAAUUCAGACCAAUUUGUUCAAGCCUUAAUAUAGGUACAAUUGCCAAGUUCAAAUAUUAACUUGGACAAAAAAAAAUUAAGCCCUAAUAUAGGUACAAUUGUCAAGUUCAGAGACUAACUUUAACAAAAAAAAAUCAAACCUUAAUAUAAGAACAAUUAUCAAGUUUAGGUCCUAACUUGAAAAAAAAUAAUUGAAGUCUCAAUAUCAAAAUAAUUGCUAAAUUUAAGUUCAAAUAUUGAUUUAACCAUUCUAUAUUUUGGUUGUUGAUUACUGAGUUAAUUUACUUACUUAUAUGAUGUAUUCUAGUUUUUUGUAGAAUAAAAUGCAUUAUUAUAAAAAAGUUUAUAAUGAAAAUUAAAUUAUUACAAUACAUAAAUGAAUUAAUGAUUUAAAAAUAUUAGAGUUUAGAUCAGAAUAAAUUUAGAGAUAAUUUAUACAGGUUGAGAAUUUAAAAUAAAAUAAGAAUCUAUAUAAUAUUUAUAAAAAAGAAUGAGAGUCGAAUAUAAAAUUUCAAGUUACUCUUGCAGGAAUUGAACCUCUAGGCUUCUUCUGCAACUGUUUGUUUGGUUAAUGGUAAUCUUUAACUUAUUAUAAAUGGAUAAAAUUUACAUCCUAAUUUCAAACAAAUAACAUGUUGAAUUUUAAAUGAAAAAUUAGGAAUAGCAUGGAUUCCCAAUAGAUUGGUGAACCAAGAUUAUUAUUAUUUUUAGAGAAAGCCAUUCCUGUUCAAUGAUUCAGGCCUGGUCCAAAACAAUUUAAGUAAGCUUACACUAGAUCAGUGGCUCGCUUUCAAGCCCAUUAGUUUUUUAUGCUUUAUUAUAUUAAGGCAUAAUCACAAGUUUGACUCUUA
rnacentral:lncRNA from 1 species